UUUUUUGGAUUUUUCACGCAAUUUGUGAUUGUAGCUAGCCAGGCUUUUGCUGAUUUACCAAAAGCAGGAUUGUAGUGGUAGAGACGGAGGAGCAUGCAUGUGGAUAACUUUUGUGUACAUGCCAAUGGACUUGAGAUAAUGACGUUAUGAAAACCUGGGAGGUCUUGGAGGGAAGUAGACCUGAGUGGCAGAGGGAGAGUCUAGUCUAGUCACACGACAGAUCGACCUGUCUCAAUUCGAUUGGGAAAGACAAUGCGUCGGUCUCCACGCCUGGAAGGAAAACUGUACAUUCAUUCGUGAUGUCACGAUGACGAUGGCUUUUGUAAUAUACGUUUCUCUGCUCUGCGAAUUGGUUUUGUAACGGUGCGGUGUGUGGCGUGCAUGGUGUGAGUGGGUAUCGGGGGUUGUGCCGGGUGCGUGUGGGGAGGGGUUUGUGACAGUGAGAUUGAGGAUCGUUCAGUACGCACGAGCGUGAGGAGAGAUGAGAGCCUGGAGCACACAAGGUGCCGGGAUGGGCAAGGUGACGGGCAUGUGAGGUCGAGGGUCCUGGUUGUGUGCUGAGCUCGAGUAUGGCAAUGUUGACAUCAGCGGUGAUGAGUAGGUGGUCAGUCUGAGUGUACGUUUGGCAAUUGGAGAUUGUUUUCUUGGGUGGGCAUGUUUUGAAGAUAAUGGUGAGGUUAUGGUCAUCUGCUGAGUCGCUUGGGUUGUGGUGCUAGUUUGGUAUGGUCUUGUUAGGUCAGUUUUGCUACCAUGGUUUGGUGGAUACGGUGUUGAUGCAGAAAAGUGCAGAUCUUCACUGCAGUAAUUAUCAUAGUGAAUUUAUACUAGAUACUGGUUUUCAUUUGCUAAACUUGUUGAUUGUAUAUUGGAGAAUGGGGGUCUAUGUGUAGAAGGCUCCAUCGUGUCACUACUGUAGGGUAUGGGAAUGGGGCUAGAAGUCAUUUGGAAUGCGGAUGGUCCGUACAAGAAAUCAGGCGCAACUGACUUGAGUCUCAUGCCUGUGGUUUGUGGAACUGUUUGUUUCUCAAUUUUAGUACUAGUUUGUUCAGCUUUGCUUUGUCAAAUUGGUGUUUCUGUUUAUUUAGUUUUACUGUAGCAUUAUUUUCAAUAGUGUCAAUGGUUUUGGGAUGUUCAUGUGUGAGGAUUGUUUUGUUUUGUUUUGUUUCGUUUUGUUUUUUUUUUUUUUCUUCUCCCGGUAUUAUGUAAAUCUUCAAAUUUAUUUCUUCUAAUUUUUUUUUGGCAUUUAUGUUUUGAUGUUGGAACUCGUUGACAAGACCAGUUCAUCUGUUUGCCCUCUCAUUUUCCUCUCUUCCUUGGCCAGUAAAAUCAUUCAUUAAUACAACAGUCAUACUUUAUGUGUGACCCUCGCCGAACUCAUAUCGGAGAUUCCCUUUUUAAUUUCUUUCUUUUUGUGCAUAUGUUCUGCCUUCUUUUGUUAUAGAUUCGACGCCAUCUCUAUUCCAGUACUGAUCAAUCUACGUACUAUGGAUUUGUCCUUGUCAUUCUUUAGAGAUGUGUUCUAUUUUUCUUUGAGGAUAGAAAUAAAGAGAAGAAAGCAAAUGGAAGGAUGUUGACGGUUACUUGGAUGUCCUUUUAUUUUUGAUAUACAUAAAUGAUCUUGAUUUGACACGUCAUUUCUUUCUGGGUUGCUUGAGAUCUUCAGAUUAACAAGUGCUUGCUAGUUGAAGUGAUGGUUAAUGGGAGAACAAACUCAAUAGUUUAAAUUGUGUAAGACCGGACUCAAUCAAGUCAAGUCAAUCAAUUAAGUUGACUAGAUUGACAUUGUUCACAACUUGUAUGAAAUAAGAUCAAGAUAAAAAUAUUUGCAAAUAAAGGCAACUAAGGUGUUACAAUCUAAUAGGGUAGUUUUUGUAAAGAAUUGUGUAUGUUUGUUUGUCUUUCAAAUCCUCCAAGAAUAAAUAUCUUAUAUAUUAGAUUUUUUUUUCAUGAAUCUUAUGAAUAUUAUUUAAGAUUAAUUAUCAUGACUAUAUAAAUUCUCUAAUAUUUUUUUAAUACUUGAGGCAAUUGAAAAUCUAUUUAAAUUAAUCUAAAUAUAGAUAUGGAAUAUAAAAGAUUUCUUGACAUAUACAUGAUUAAAUUUGAAAGUUGGAAUAAAUGAAUAUAGCUUAAAAUUGGGAGUUGCUUAAGCCACACCCCUCCUUGCCAUCUCUUGAUUGAUUUCAUCUCUAUCUCCUCAUUCUCGUCCCAAAUCCUUGUUCCCAGCUCUCCCAUUUUCAUUUGUAGCAUGGAGCAAGUCUUCCUUCAUACUCUCCCCUCCCUCCCUUCAUUUACAAAAUACAAUGUUAGAGGAGUCACUACCACCACCAUGCACACAAGUAAAUUGUUCACAUUAGGUGUUACUUUAGUUCUCAAUGGAUGGUUAGAUAUUGGAAAUAGAGAUAAAUUUAACCUCAAUAAGUAUCUUCUUUCAUAAAAACUUGUUUUCUAAGUAUUCCAAAUGGAACAUGUUUAACAAUUGUAUAGAAUUGUUGGUACAACACAUGAGAGAAUUCAAAAGCUAAUUGGGUUUUAUCUAAAGCUUCGGGAAGCAUAUAUUUCCAAGACAAUAGAAACACAAGUUUUGGAUUACCUACUAGGAUAAUGCUGAAGACAAAGAGAGGAAAUAAUGACCAAUUGGAGGAAUUGGUUACAUCUUAGGAGAAGUAUGACUAGUAGAUGCAAACAUUAGAGUUGCAAAAUCUAAAGACUAAAAAGAGGUUGUCAUGAACUAAGAAAAAGUCUUUUUAUUUAUUUAUUUAUUUAUUUCCUCUCUCUCCAACCAACAAAACAUGUUCUAGGUUGGAAAUGGAAAUGGAAACAAAGAAGUUGGUUAGAAACAAGAGAUGGGUAUAAAAGGAGGAGGGGAGAGGGGAGAUUUGAAAUGAAGGGGUUGAGAACAAGAAUCAUAAAAGAAGGAUAGAGACAAAAUCAAUUAUGAGGUGGCAAGGAUGAGCAUGGUUUUAACAACUCCCUUAAAAUAUAAAUUACAUUUAGCUUAGAAUUAAAAAUAUUCUAAAAUAAAAAGUAUAUAAUUUAUAUUUUAUUUGAUUUUAAAUAGAAUAAUAUUUCUUAUUAUAUCUAAAUAAAAUUUAUCAAUUUAUAUUAAAUAUAUUAAAAAUUAAUAAGAUUAUAACUUUUAAAUGAAAUUGCAUUGAUUUAAAAAUAAUAGAAUGUUGUUAAUCAUAGUUGCAAAUUUUUAUUUUAGAUAAAAAUAAUAUUUUAAAUUAUAAAUCUAAAUAAUAUAUAAAUUUUAAUAUAAAUUAUAAUAAAGUCAUAUUCUAGUAAGGUUUUUAAUAGUCAACAUAAUAGCAUAAAAUACUUAAAGUGCUUUAUGUAAAAAUAAAAUUUAUGAAGAUCAUCUUUUAAAUAUUAAUGCCAUUUUUAAAGCAAAUACACAACAGUAGAGAAUUAUUUAUUUUAAAGUUUUUAAUCAGAAUAAUUUUUUUCUACAAAUAUUAAGAAAAACCUUAUAUAAUUAAUUAUUUAGUUUAAUUUCUAAUAAACUUGCAUCUAUCUUCUUUUUUUUUUUUUUUUUUUUUUUUUUUUUGAUAUAUUCUCUACUAAGAAUGGCUUUUAUAAUUUAAAUAAUAUAUAAUUUAAAAUAUAUUAAAUAAAAUUUUAAAUCUAAAAAUACUAUAUAAAAAUAUGGAUCUAUUAUAACUUAGUUUACAAGCCAAUUUUAUAUCCAAAAAAUUAACUAAAAAAAAAUUCACAAUAAAAGAUUUUAUGAUAACAAAUUGAUCAUAGGUAACAAUAUUAAAAUUAUUAUAUUAUUUAAUUUUUUUUUUGAAUAACAAUAUUUUUAGUCUUUUUAGAAUCUAUCUUAAAACCAUCUUUUAAAAUAAUUUAAUUUCUAAAUUUUACGUAAUUAUGUUAAAUCAUAUUAAUAUUUGUAUACAAUAUUAUAUCUUUCAAAUUUUUUUAUACACAAAAAGUAAAUGUAAAUUUUUAUUUAUUUAUUAUAUCACAGUAAGAAUAUUAUUAAAAUAUUAAAAUCUCAUAAUUUUUAAUACAAAAAUAAUCAAUAAAAAAUAUUUAAAAAAAUUAGAUUUUUUUUUAAAUUAAUAAAAAAUAUUGAAAUUUAAUUUUUUAUACUAAAAUAGAAUAUAAUUUUAUAUUUAUAAAUUAUUUUUAAACAUAAAAUAUAAUAGAUUUUUUGUAGAUAUAUUUCAGUAUAAAAUGUAGUUUAAAAUAUAAUUUAAACUAAUUAAGAAGUUUAAAUACAAAGUAUAAAUAUUAGUUUUUUUAAUGGUUAUUGUAUUUAGUACAAAAAUAUUUACAAAAACUUCUAAGAAAUAGCAUGUUGUUUUCAAAUAAAUUUUUUAUACUUAUAUUAGUAUAAAAGUUAUUUUUACUAUUAUUGUUGUUCUAAAAUUUCAUUAAUAUGAAGUCAUUUUGAAAUGUAUUGUAGAUUGGUCAAUAUAUUGGUAUAAAUCUUUUUCAUAAAUUAAUUUAAUAGUCAUUAUUUUUAUUUUCUAAAUAUAUCUUAAUACACUUAAUGAUGUUCUAAAAUAAUAUUGUAAGCUGUUUGGGAUAAAUUUUAACUAUUAUAUAUAUAUAUAUAUUUAUAGAAUCUCAAUAUUAUAUUUUAAAAACAAAUUGAGAUUUAAUAAUUAUAAAAUAAAUAAAAUAAACCCCCUUUUAUUCCUUUUAAAAUAUAAAAAUAUAAUCUAAUAAUUUACAUUUUGGAUUGUAUUUUUGUAUUACACUUUAAAAAACAUAUUAAUUUUAUUUCAUAGACUAAAGAAUAAUUAAUCUUAUUAUAUUUUUAAGUACAAAUAUAGCUAUUUCUAUUCAAUAAAAGUAUAAUUAAGAUUAUAAUUAAUACAUCUUAAAAUAAAAUUGAUUUAAUUUUAUAAUUUUAUUUUUAUAAUAUUUUUUAUGUAUUAAAAAUUUAAAUAACAAUUGUAACUUAUCUCUUGCAAAAGUUUUAAUUCUCCUCUUUCAAAAAUCAAAAUAUAAAAUCUUAGCAAUGAUAAAAAAUGAAGUUACACAACACAUAUUUUUCAAAUCUCAAAUGAUAUAUGGUUGUAUAUUUUAUACUUAAACAAUCAAGAUCAACUAGUUAUAUUAUUAUUAUUAAAUAUUUUAUGAGUGAUUUAAAAUAAUAUAUUAUAACAUGUAAUGACAAAUUUUUAGAAUCAAGUAUGGUUAAUGAAGUUAAAAAAAUUGAUGAUAUAGAGUCUUUGCUUGAAAAUAAGUAUUACAAGAUUAUAUAUUUAUUUAGGAGUUUUCUUCAUUCAAAGUGACAAAAAAUCUGUUAAAAAUUUGUUUUUGUUUUUGUUUUUGUUUUGUUUUUUUUUUUUUGCAUUUAGAAUAUUGAACUUGUAAAAAAUUAUCAUACGCAUAUUGAUAGAUGCUCAUAUUACUUAAGUAGGUAGAAGCAAAUAAAAAUAAGUAGAAUAUGUUUGAAAGAUAAUAUAUUUUUUUAAAGAAUUUCAAAAAGGUUUCAAAAAUACAACUUAGAUCUUCAUAUUCCUAUAGAUAUGUUGUUUGGCUAUUAAAACUUAUUUUUCCAUUUUCAUGCUUUUAGCAAGUUGUGUAUGAAGUAAUAUAUAAUUUGAUAUUUGUAUCAUAAGUCUUAUGGUUCUUAGAAAGUUUUCAUAAGACCUUCUUAAUAGUUAAUAUAAUUAGAGAGAAAAAACAAGGCCAUCUUAGUUAUAAAUAAAUUGACUUAUGAGUUAUUUUAGAAUAAAAUAAUACAAUUAAAAUGACUAGUGCAAUUAUUAGGUGAAAGCUAAAGUAAAAUAUGGCCAAAUAUAAGCAAAAUAGAGUUAAUAAAUUAAUUGUAGCUAGAAUAGAACAUCUAGUAUAAACUUCCAAAUAAGAAGUAUUUUUUAGGUAUCAAAUAGGUAUAUUUUUAGUAUUUCUAAAGUACCUUAAAAGAAUUUAGUAUAUUUAAGAUUUUAAGAGUAUAAAAUUUAUAUAUAAUAUGAAUAUAAUCUUAUUACAAUUUGGAUAUAAUAGAGCUAUAACAUACAAAAUAUAAUAAUAUAUAAUAUUAAAUACAAGAGAUAAAGUAUGACUAUCAAUAAUAGGAUAUUGACAAGCCUAUAUAUUGAUAUUUAGAUAUCAAACUGCCUAUUGUAGGCCUCCAAAUUGCCAAUAGGAAUUCGGCUCAAAUCCAAGAUUUAUUUAUUUUGAUUCUUUCUUAAACUCUAGGUGCUUCAAAGUCUUCUUCUCUUCCAUAUAUAUAUAUAUAUAUAUAUAUUAUUUGUAUUAUGAGUCCAAGCUCCAUUCACUCCAAAGAUUGAUCUUUGCAUCUUUGAUUUUUUUCCAUUCUUUCAUCCAAGCAUGUUGCAGAGCUUUGAGCAAUGGCUUUUAAUAAAAGCACCUAGAUUAGACCAUUUCAAGUAUUAUUCCUCUCUAAUUUUUGACAUUGAAAUCUUCGUGGUUUAAUAUUCUUCUCAUGUUGUUUUAUUGCAAAAGUUGCUGUUAUGUGAUUGUGGCUUCUCUUCUUAAGAUUUUAUUUUUUUUUAUUUUUCUAUGUGGUAUUAAGGAUAUGAAUUAGAAGAAGAUGCAUAAACUUAAAAAGACUAUGAUAAAAAAAAAGUAUCAAAAUAGCAAUAAAGUAGUAUGUAUAUUAAAAAAAAACUGGAAUAGCUAUUGCCAAAAUAUAAGGAAAUUAGAAACUCUUAAAUCUAAAUCAUAAGCAAGAAAAAAGUUGAUAAGAGUGAAGAAGGCUUCAUUCUUACCUCUAUAUAUACUAUCUAACUAGGAGCUAUGUGGCAAUGUUCUACAGGAUCUCUAAUAUAUAUUGACUUUGCAGGACACAUGCUUUAGCUUACAAGGCAAGUUUUUUACAUGUAGACCACAUAGUUAGCUUAUUCUUCAAGCUACCAACAUGUAUGGCACAUGGCCAACUUGUUGACUAUGUUUUUAACCUAAAAAAUUAAUUAUAGAUACCUAUGAAGUCAAAGCAUCGUCUUUGAAGCUUUUAAGAAGCUUCUAUGGAAGAUAUUAAAGAAUUAAUCUACUUUUAUCUAUUUUUAAAUAAUCAUAUAGGUAAUUAUUGAUUUACAUGUGUAUGUCCAUGACAUUAUCCCUCUUUGAAGAGAUAAGUUUUGUAAGGAGUGGUGUCAUGUUGUGAUAUGGUUAUAUGGUAAAAAUAUGACUAAAAAUAAUUUGAUAAUUAAUAUUCUAUUAUAUUAAUUUAAAAAGAAUUCAACAUAUUUUAAUAAAGCUUUUAUGAAAUCCUCUAAAUCGAUUUUCUUGUCUUAAUAGCAAGUAGAUAUAAAGUUAGUUAGUAUUUUUACCUUCUAUGAUAUAGAAACUUUUUUACUACCUUAGAAAGGCCAUAAAUUAUUAAAAUCAGGAUAGAAGAGGUAAAUGAUUGAUAUGGUUGAUACUAGGAUCAAGUUGAGGGUAUGUUUGGUCUAAAAAAUCCUUAGGAUAGAUUAGAUUGAUACUUGAGAGUCAACCGUUUGUGAGGCAAGAUCAAAAAAAGACCUUUGGUUAUUAAAAUGACCGCCUAGGGCAAACUAAGGAUUUUUUUGAAGCUCAGAGAUUAAGUUAUUAGAGCUAACUUGAAGCUCUUUUCAAAGGCAUAAUGAUUUUUUUAAUUUUUUUUUAAAGACUUGAAAAUUAUUAUUCAAAGUUAGGGUUUGUAUUGGUGAUUUGGAUUUUAUAUAAUAUAACUAGGACUAGCAAUUUUGGCUAGUUUAUGCAAUUGGUGUAAUAUCUAUAGUUCAAAAUUUGAUACUGUUUGGAUUAUUAGGUAUAUUAAGUAUAUUAAAUUUUUUGUAAUAAUCUAAAGCUGUGCUUUAGAGAUAUCUGGUUUUUAGCACAAGAGGAUUCUAGAAGUUGGCAGUUUGGGGUUAGAUAAGAUUUUUGUGAUAUCUAGAGAUUUACUAUCUGGAUCAAGGUAAAAUUUGGCAUGGUAUUGAAGGACUUAAAGAUCAAGUUGCAAACCAAAUUUGAGUAAAAUUCAAUUGUUAGAAAAGGAAAAAUCGUUGCUGGGAUUUUUGCUUCACUUUUCAAGUUAGUGGCCAAGUGACAUCAAUGCAAUUUUUGGAAGUUUUCUCACAAUCUAUAAGCUAGAUUGGGCUGAAAAUUAUUGAGCGUAUAGAAGACUUAAAAUGACAAUUGCUUGCAAAAUUUUACAUCAAUUGGAUAGUCAGAUUAGAAGUUAUAGCUUGUUAAAGCUCAUUGAUUAAGAUUGGGGCUUAUAAGAAAAAUCUAAACUGCUUAAAUAUGAAAGUAACAAAGUAAUUGAGGUUUAUGUGUGAUUGAGGCUAUUAAAAAGUAAGUUUUUUAGUACUUUUGAAUUGAAAUUUGAAUUAUAUUCUUUUCAUAUAGAUGAAACUUAUUAUGAUUUUUGGGAUGAUUGGAAAAGAAAACCUCACCUUCCACAGCUAGUUGCUUGGUGUCAUGAUGUACUACGACUAUAUAGUAAAAUUAUAAUCAAAAUUGAAUUUCUAAUUAAUAUCUAAUUAUCCUAAUUCAAUUAUAAUUUGAAGAAUCUAUACAUGGCUUUUUAAAAAGUCUCUUAGAUUAUUUUUUUAUCUUAAUAAUUAGUAGGUUGAAGGUUAGUUAGUAAUUUUACCUUCUAGGUUGUAGAGACUCUUCUACUACCUUAGAAAGACCAUAAAUUGAUGAAAUCAGGUUAGAAGAGAUAAAUAAUUAAUAUAGUUGGUACUAAGAUUAUGUUGAGAGUAAGAUUGGACUAAAACAUCCUUAAGAUAGGAUAGAUUGAUACCCAGGGAUUGACCGUUUGUGAGAUAGGAUCGAAAUGAGACCUCUCACCACUAAAACAAUGGCCUAAGGCAACAUAGGGUUUCAAUUGAAGAUCGGAGGUUAGGAUUUGAAAGCUAGCUUGAAUUUCUUUUUAGAGACAUAAGAAUUGUUUUGAGAGGGUUUUAGAGGACUUAGCAAUUAUUGUUCUAAGUCAGGGUUUAUAUCAAUGAUUUGGAUUUUAUAUAAUAUAAUUAGGGCUAGAAAUUUUGACUAUUUCGUGCAAUUGGCGUGAUAUCUAUGGUUGAAAACUUGGUACUAUUUGGAUUAUUGUGUAUGCUAAGUAUAUACAAAAUUUUGUAAUGAUCUAAUGGCGUGGUUUAGAGAUAUCUAGUUUUUAUUACAAGAGAGUUUCAGAAGGUGGCAGUUUGAGGUUGGGUAGGAUUUCUAUGAUAUCUGAAGAUCUAUCUAUCGGAUUAAGGUAAAAAUUGGCAUGGUGUUGGAAGACUUGAAGAUCAAGCUACACACCAAUUUUUAGACAAAGUUAAUAAUUGGAAAGGGAGAAAUAAUUGCUGGGAUUUUUGCUUCACUUUUCAAGUUGGCGGCCUAGUGACAUCAGUGCAAUUUUUUCGGAGGUUUUCUCACAAUUUGUAAGUUGGAUUGGGAUAAAAAUUCUUGAGCAUAUAAAAGACUUACAUUGACAAUUGCAUGCAAAAUUCUACAUCAAGUGGAUGGUCAAAUUGGAUGUUACAGCUUGUUAAAGCUCACUAAUUAGGAUUGAGGCUUACAAGAAAAAUCUAAAUUGCUUAAAUAUAAAAGUAACAAGAUAAUUGGGAUUUAUGUAUGGUUAAGAAUACUAAGAAGAGUAUUUUAAGCACUUUUGAAUUGAAAUUCAGAUUAUAUUCUUUUCAUAUGGAUGAAAUCUAUUAGGAUUUUUUGGCUACUUGUGAUAUAUAAUCUCACCUUCCACAGCUAAGUGCCCGAUGCAUUCCUGAGUAAAAUAACAUGUAAUACAACAUCGGUGCAUUCCUAAGCAAGAUAACACGUAAUAUGACAAUGGUCAUUAUAUGUUGGACAAAUCCAAGAUGUGGCAAAAGUAUUUGUCAAAUACUCUGAUCUUUGUUCUCUUUAGAGAUGGUUAAUAGGGCCCUCCAACCAUCAAUAGUGUUCUUUAUCAAGGCAAGAAGACAGUCCAGUUAUUUGAUUGUUGUUGAGGCCUUUAUUACCUUCUUCAUUUAAAACAUUUGGAAUACUAUGAAGAGUUAUUUCUACUUCUAGUAAAAUGAGUAAACUUUGGGAGUCUCUUUUAAAGUCAUGAUAUUAAAUAUGUUGUAUCUUGCCAUCUAUUUGAAGAAGAACAUGUCGUUCUUAAGAAUCUUCAUCUUGAUUGCAUCAUCUUUAAGGUUGUCACAAUUGUAUUGUCUUGUCUAGCAAAUCAAGAAACAAAGGUUCCUGAGUCGAAUCUACUAGUUAUUGAUUGUCCAUUUAUUUAAUGUCAUAAAUAUAGAAAAAUAACAAACAAAGAUAGAAGGUAGAAUAUAAUUUUUCUUGGACCUUGUUUCUUUUAUAACAAAGACUUACUAUUCUUAAUCUUAAUUUUGAUGGAUAUUGUCAAUGAAAAGCCUCGACCAUCUUUGCUGCAUUUGAAAUAUUCUUUACUACCUUCCAUAUAUAUUUACUAGUAUCAUAUCUGUUCUAAUUGAUAAGAUAUUCCAAUUUAUUUUGGUGCUGCCUCGAGUCUAGAAUUUCUUCUACUUCAAACUCUUUAUUAUUGUCGACAUGCGUAGAAAGAGGUAGAGCUUAUCUUUUUUUAGUAUAUUCAAAGUCUUGUAUGGUUCAAGAAAAAAUAUGUGGAAGAUAUGAUGGAUCUUCAUUGAUUCUUAUAAAUAUAAUUGAUAAACAACUAGAUUGAUUUGUCUACAAAUACAAAAAAGUCUAAACUUGUAGGAGUCGAACUUAUCAUGGAGACUAGUAAUCUUGAUAUUACAACAAAGUAACUAUACCUUGUCACCUACAUUGAAUUGUAGUUAUUUUUUUUUGAUAGGCAUCUGCAUUGAUCUUUUAUUUUUCUUGAGCUUACUUUAAUUACACCUUUAUUGUUGCAUGUAACUUUGACAAAUGAUUUGCCAAAUCUUUUGCCAUAUAAUUAUUAACUUUUAAAAAGUCAAAAGUAUCAAAUUAUGGAUAGUAACCAUAAUUGGAAAGAAAUGUAUUUUUUACAUAGAAGAAUAUAUUGUAUUAUUAUAAAAAAGCUUUGCAAGUGACGAGAAGGUUGUUUAAUUAUCUUGUUGAUAAUUAUUGGUAUAUCUUAAGUAAUGCUCCAUGAUUUAGUUUACAUGCUUUAUUUGUCCAUCAGCUUAAAGUUGAAAGGUCAAAGAAAGCUUUAUGUCCAUCUUUAGAAUCUUAAAAAGAAUUUUUUAAAAUCUUGAUACAAAUUAAAUUUCUUUAUUCAAUAUAAUAUCUUUUGAAAAUCUAUGUUACCAAUAGAUAUUAUCAAAGAAAAGCUUGGUAGUUUCUUUACAUGUGAUAGAUUUUGUACAUGGUAUAAAAUGUGCCAUUUUGAUAAAACGAUCUACUAUCACAAAUAUAGAAUCAUACAAAUCUGAGAUUGAAAGAUCUACAAUAAAAUCCAUAGAAAUAGAAGAUUAUGGUUGUUUUGGAAUAUGUAUUAGCUGAAGAAGUUUAUAAAGUCAAUAACAAGGAAUUCUUGAUCUUGAAUAAAUAUCAUAUGUUUGAACAAAGUCUUUUAUAUUUUUUUACAUUUAUAACCACCAAAAAUCUAUGGAUAUUAGCUCUAAAGUCUUAUUACAUGCAAAAUGUCUUGCCACUAGAAAGUCGUGACAUGCUUAAAGAACACGUAAAAGUACAUAUUCUUCAAAAAUAUUUAGGUGUGUUUUGAAAUAAUGUAGGUUGUUCUUAAAUUUGAACUUGAAAGUAUCACAAGACUUAAAAGAAGUAUGCUUGAUAUCAUGAACAAGAGGAUUAAAGGACAUACUUGAUUGAAUUUGUUUGAAAAAAAUCAAAUCAAUAGUUAAUGUUGAUUUCACUAUUUAAAGAUAAAAUCAUUUUGGCUGCAAUGAAAUUAUCUUUUGUUAAUCAAAAGCUUCAUCUCAUUUUUUCUAUACAAGAUAAGAAUGUAUAGAAAGUAUAUUAGACAAAUCUUGUUAUUUUUUUGGCCGAUAAGUGAUAUUAAAUUCGAAUCUUGACAAAGAAAUACUCCAACUAACUUAACAAUAAUUCAAAACAUAAAAUACUUGAGGUUCUUUAGAUCCAUAUACAUGGUGAUUGGACUAGAAGUGCCUUCUAUAUAAUGAUGCAAUAUAGAAAGAAUCCACAAUUAUAAGAAGCUCUUUGUCAUGGAUCUCAUAGUUAAUCUCAAUUAUUGAAAAUUUCUUGGAAUAAAAAGCUAUUAGGUGAAGUUUAUCACCUAUUUCUAUUUGUUAUAAUAUAGUACUCAAAGCAAAGUCUAAUGCAUCUAUUUCUAUAAAGAAUGCCUUAGUGAAGUCAAUUUGAUAUAAGAUUGAUAUAAAAAUAAAGGCUAUCUUUAAAACUUCAAAUGUUGCUUCUGUUUCUUGAUUCCAUUCAAGUUUUUCUUUACAAGUCAAAUAUGUAAGUAGAGCUAUAAUUCUAGAAAAGUCCUUGAUAAAGAUCCAAUAGUAGUUGGCUAAUUCCAAAAAACAUUAGACAUCUUAUACUAUUUUUGGGAUUUUUAAAUUUAUAAUAGUUUGAACUUUCUAAAGAUCCAUCAUAAGUCCAUCGUUUGAAAUGAUGUAAUCUAAGAAGUCAACUUGAGUAGUGUGGAAUAUACACUCUCUAAAUUGGCAUAGAAUCUCUCAUCUUUUAAUUUUUGUAACAUAUGACAAACAUGAAGUUCAUGCUCUUUUGUAUUCUUAAAAUAGGUCAAGAUAUUAUCUAAAUAACAAACAAUAAAAUCAUCUAAAAAUUCUCAAAAAAAAUCAUUCAUAAGAUGUUGAAAAGCUACUGGUGCAUUUGUUAGUCCAAAAGGCAUGAUAUUAUAUUCGAAAUGUAAUCUUCUAUUCAUCUCAUUUUUUAAUAUGUACCACAUUGUAUGCUUUUUGUAGAUCUAUUUUUGUAUAGAUCUUAGCUUGAUUCAACUGAUUAAGAAGUCUACAUAUUAAAAGUAGUAGGUACAUCUUUUUGAUGGUGAUCUUGUUGAGUCUUUGAUAAUCAAUAUACAUCUGCAAUGAUCAAUUUUUUUUUUUGACAAAUAGAAUUAGGGCUCUUGGUAGAGAUUUGAAAUGGCAUAUUAAGUGUUUGGCUAGAUUCUCUUUAAUAUACUCCUUGAAUUUGGUCAACUUGUUUUGUGAUAAAUUAUAGAUUGGUCCAAAUGGCAAUUAUGCUCCAUCUUAAAGAUUAAUUUAAAAAUCAUAGGGAUGAUAUUCUGAAAGAAUAUCUACAUUUUUUUCAUCAAAUACGUCUUAAAAUUAUUAGUGUUGGCUUAAAAUGCUAUUUGAAGCCUUUGUACCAUUAGAAAUUUUCACGGAUAUACUUAUGUAAGCUAGUAAUUAUAUAUACAAAUAAGUAGAAGUAAAUAAAAGUAGAUAAAAGUAAGUUAAUUCUAUAGUAUUUGAUAUAGAAGCUUUUUAGAAGCUUUAUAGACGCUACUUUGACUUCAUAGGUGUCUUAAAUUGUUUUUUUGGAUUAGAAACGUGGUCAACAAGUUGGCCAUGUGCCACACAUGUUAGCUUGAAGAUUAAGCUAACUAUGUGGCCCACACGUAAAAAAACUUGCCUUGUAAGUCAAGGCAUGUGUCCUACAAAGUCAAUAUAUAUUACAAGUCGUAUAGAACGUCGCCACGUAGCCCCUAGUUAGAUAGUAUAUAUAGAGACAAGAGUGAAGCCUUCUUCACUCUUGUCAACUCCUUUCUUGCUUCCAAUCUAGUUUCAAGGGUCUUUAGUUUUCUUAUCUUUUGGCAAUAGCCAUUCCAGUUUCUCUUUCAAUAUACAUACUUGUUUAUUUAUAUUUUGUUACCUUUCUUUGAGUGAAGGCUCACUUAUCUAAAUUACUUUUUCAUCAAGUUCUUGUCCUUGAUAGAUUAACCAAACUACACCUAUAAUAUCAAAGCUUUGUCUAAUCUUGAUUAAGAGUGGAUUAUCUCUUUUUCUUGAUAAGAUAUAAGCAUAUUAGAAGUUACGGAUUACUCUCUUCUAAAAUAAUAUUGUCCUUAGUAUUUUCUUUGUUCCCAAGUCCUCUCUUCUAUUUAUCUUGAGCGAUAUUAAACAUCUUCUCUUUUCUAAGUGUUAUUAUGGCAGAAAUUGUUGAAAUAAAGAAUGCAAUGGCACAAAUGUAAGAAUAAUUAAGGGAGUUAAUGCUUGCGAUGCAUCAAUUCAAUUUACCACCACAAAGAGCAACAAGAUUGGAAAGAAGUAAAGAUAUAGAAAUGGUUGGAGUUGCUUCAACAUCUGCACCAAACUAUGUCCUUUCUCCUAUAGUGGAACACCCUUUCACUAUUAGAGAACUAAGAAUUAUCCUACCCGAGAAGUUUGAUGGCACCAAAUCCAAGUUUCAAGGAUUUAUCAAUCAAGUCUAACUUGUGAUUGAACUUCAAUCCCAAAGCUAUCCAACUCCAAGAUCGCAAGUUAGAUUCAUUGGUAAGCUUCUUUUAGGUUCAGUACUAUCGUGGUUUUCUUCUUUUCUUGAAUGGCAAGAUCCAAUAUUGGAUAAUCUAGAAGUUUUUUUGGUAGACUUUCAAUCCAUGUAUGGAGAACAUGAUGCAAUUCGUAUUGCAACCAAUAAGAUCCAUAUUUUACGAUAACGCAAUCGAUCAGUAUCGUUGUACGCUUCAUAAUUUUGAUAACUUGCAACUGAUAUCAAGUGGAAUGAUGCUACACUUAUUAGCCAAUUUUUCUGCGGAUUACAAUAUGAGGUAAAAAAAAUUAAUGCUCAACUUACCUGAUCCUCAAACAUUGAGUCAAACAAUUGACUUUGCUGUGAAGUGCGACAAUCACCUUUUUGAAUUUCUAUCUGAGAACCGUAUAAGUGGACCUCAACGUUACUAUAAUUUAAUGGUAAUAUCAACACCUCUUCAAUACAUACAUUCAGAAGUAGAGGAUAUGUAAAUUGAUGUAAUACAUUUCAAACCUCUUACUAAGUAAGAAAAGAUUUGUCGUCGUCAAGAAGGAUUAUGUUUAUAUUGUAGAGAACCAAAAUACACUGCUCAACAUUGUCCAAAGAAACGAUGUAACUACAAAAUGAGGAGCAUGGAUGUGAAAGAAGACAAUAUGUCAAAAAACGAGUUUGUCCAGCUACAAUAGGGACCGUGCGGCUGGAACCUUGUACAACAUCUAGUAAAGGUCCUAUUCUCUCUUUAGAGCCCUCUUCUUGUUUUACAUUAAAUAUUAUUUUAGGACCUAAACAUUACAAAGCCUCUGCCUUGUUAGAUUUAGGAGCCUCAAUGUAUUUCUUAGAUGAAGAAUUUACCAAAAGACAUAGCAUAUCUUUAAUAAAGAAAACUAAACCUGUUCAUGUAGAAGUCAUAGAUGGUGGUCCAUUAUCUUCUGGAGAUAUUACUGACAAAACUCUUCUUAUAGAAGUAAUAAUAAAUGGUCAUAAUAGCUUUGUAGUAUUUAAUAUCAUUAGAUCUCCCUCUAAUCCAGUCAUUUUAGGUUUAUCAUGGUUAGAAAAAUACAACCCUGAAAUAGAUUGGAUUUCUCAAACUCUUACUUUUUCUAAAAGUACAACUAACAGUGUAGUUAAUCAAGUAGAGAGUCAUAAGUCUAGUUCAAUUAAACCCAUGUUUAUAGGUGCAAAAGCUUUGUGUCAUGCUGCUAUAAAAGAAUCACUAUAUAUUAUUUAUGCCACACUUUUUUCUACUAGUGGAAAGACUUCAAGUGGCAUUUCAAGUUAAUAUCAAGAAUUUGAAGAUAUAUUCGAAAAAAAGAAUGUGGAUACACUCUCGGAACAAUGUACCUAUGAUUGUUCAAUUGAUCUUUAUGAAGGAGCACAACCGCCAUUCGGACGAAUCUACAGUUUAUCACAAAAUGAGUUGACUGAAUUCAAGGAGUGUAUUGAAGAAAAUCUAGCCAAGAAUUUUAUGAGCCAUUCUAAAUCUCUGGCAGGAGCUCUAAUUCUAUUUGUGAAGAAAAAAGAUGGAUCAUUGUGGAUGUGUGUUGAUUAUCAAAGAUUCAACAAGAUUACCAUCAAGAACAGGUAUCCUCUAUCUUUAAUAUCUGGACUUCUUGAUCAACUGAAUCAAGCAUGUCUUUAUCAAGAUUCGAGUUCAUCAUCACUUAUCGGCCAAGAAAAUAACAAGGUUUGUCUGAUGCCUUGUCUAGACGUUCUUAUCUUGUACCAAAAGAAAGAAAUGCAGCUUUUGAGCAACAAAGAAUGGUUCUCUUGAAGCCGGAGCAAUUUCAUCUUCGAGCAAUAAAAUCAACAUUGAUUGUUGAUUUAACUUUUAUUAAGCAAGUCCAAUUAAGUAUGUCUUCAGGCUGUCUUGCUCAUGAUAUCAAGAAUAAUUCUUCUAAAUCUCAUGAUCCCUCUAAAUUUGAAUUCAAGAACAACCUACUCUAUUUCGAAGGACGCCUAUAUGUUCCAGAAAGAGAAGCAUGUUUACGUAUUCUUUAAGUUCGUCACGACUUCUCAACAGCAGGAUAUUUUGGAUACAAUAAGACUUUGGAGUUGAUAUCUAGGGAUUUUUGGUGGCCUCAAAUGUGGAAGGCAGUCAAAGAAUUUGUACAAUCAUGUGAUGUUUGCUGAAGAUCAAAAACUCCUUAUCAUCGACCUUUUAGACUUCUUCAGCCAUUAUCCAUUCUACAACAACCAUGGUCUUCUAUUUCUACAGACUUCAUGACGGUGUCGUAUGGCGUGAUUUUCUAUCUGGAAAUACACCGGGUAUCUAGCUGUAGAGUGUUUAGGUUUCUUUUUUAUAUAAUGCCUUAGCUCCCAAAAAAAAACUCCUUGCUUUGUAUAAAAAUUCAAAAUAUCUUAAAAUUCUUCAAAAUAUAUUUCUUCCCGCCAAGGACCUUUUUACAUCAGACUUUGAAAAUUCAUAAAAGCUAAUCCAACCGUUCACUUUGUUUCAAAUUUCUACAUAAGCUAGAUGCUAUACUUAACUUUUACCACAAAAAAAAUUGAACCGUACAUCUAUCACCGAUCGUUCGGCAUCUAAGAAACCCUAGCAGGUGCACAAAACCCUAACUUACAAGCACCCGAAAACUAUUUUCCUUAUAUCUCUUAAAUCCAAGCUCCAAAUCACACAAAACUUGUAUAGAAAGCUUUAUAACAAGAUUACACUCAAUCUUGAAAAUUUUGAGCUAAAACCUCAUCAAAUUGUUUAAGAUAUAGCUCAAAUCACAAGCACAAGUAAUUCGGGAUACUUACUACCCUUAGAUAUCAAGCGCUGACUUCAACUGCCAAUAUCUCCUUUAUAAAAGCUUGGAAUUCAAUAAACAGUAUGCACAAACUAUAGCCGAAAAAGUGUUCUCUUUAAAUCCGGUCGCCGAUCCUCGUUUGCUGUCCGUAUGCGUGCGGUAUGCUCAAAAGAGUGACAGUACGUCGAAAACUUACACCUUAACUUUGAGCGCCUAUAACUUCUUCAUAUAAACCCCAAAUGACACAAAUUUUGCACCAAAACCAUAUCCAAAAACCUAAAACUUCUGACCCUAGCCUUCAUAGUUCGAAUGGCCGCGAGAAACUAACCCUAAUCCCUAACAUGGCCUCAGGCAGCCUCCUCAAAGCCCAUUGGUCAUGAUUUUUAACCAAUAGGAAUGGAGAUUUUUAUUAUUUAUCUCCAUUCAUCCAUAUUGGUGCCCUAAUUAAUCCUUUUGCUAUCAAAACCCCCUUCUUCAUCCCUUUUCUUAUAAGAUUUUUACAAUGAGUCUUUUUAACACCAAAUAAAAAAUCCAAAAGAAGUUUUCAAAGGUCACCAAUGUCUAACAAAGGUGAUUCUAAUUAUUUAGAAGUCACUAUGAACUAAACCAAUCUUAAAAGCCACUAUGAAAACGAAAUCAAAGUUAUACAAAUUCUAUAGUAAUCUUUUUAAACAACCUCUUUUCAAAGUAAUAAUCAAAUUAUAUCCUACAACCAACUAAAAUCUACUAACAUGGCUCUUACCAUGUUACCUAAUAAAUUAUAUAUUAAGUACAUAAUUACAUUAUUUUCAUAUAGUAGCCAAACCACAACACGACAACGGAUCUUCGAAUCUCAAGUUCUUAUGAUUCUUUAUUUGUAAUAGUAUAUCAUUUUACCAAGAUGGCACAUUUUGUAUUAUGUACAAAAUCUAUCACAGGUGAAGAAACAGCUAAGUUCUUUCUUGACAAUAUCUAUCGCUAUCAUGGAUUAUCCAAGGAUAUUAUAUGAGAUAGGGGAACUCAAUUUGUAUCAAGAUAUUGGCGGACUCUUUUCAAGAUUCUAAAAGUGGAUAUAAAACUAUCUUUGGCAUUCCAACUUCAAACUGAUAGACAAACGGAGCAUGUUAAUCAAGUUUUGGAGCAAUAUUUAAGAUGUACCAUCAACUACCAACAAGAUGAUUGGACAAUUCUUUUGCCAUUGGUAGAGUUUGCUUACAAUAAUACGAUACAUUCUUCUACAAAACAAAUACCUUUCUUUGCUAAUUAUGGUUAUCAUCUACGACUUAAUACUUUUGACUUUUCAAAAGUUGAUAAUCUUGCUGCGAAAGAUUUGGUGAUUCAUUUGUCAGAGCUAUAUGCAACGAUAAAGGCGCAGUUAAAAGAGGCUCAAGAACAACAAAAUAUUAAUGCGGAUGUCUAUCAAAAGGAACAACUACCAUUCCACUUGGGUGAUAAGGUAUGGCUACUUUGUCGCAAUAUCAAGACCACUUGUCCUAGUGACAAAUUGGACUAUCAAAGGCUUGCACCAUUUUCUUUUUUUGUACAAAUAAAUCUAGUUACAUAUCAUUUACAUCUACCACAGUCAAUGAAAAUCCAUCCAGUAUUCCACGUGUCUCUUCUUGAACCAUACAAGACAUUGGACAUACUAAGAAGAUGACAAGUUCCACCUCCUCCUAUAAGAGUAGACAAUAAUGAAGAGUUUGAAGUACAAGAAGUCUUAGAUUUAAGGCGGCGCUGAAAUAAAUUGAAAUAUCUUGUCCAUUGACACGGAUAUGAUAUUAGUGAACUCACAUAGGAGCCAGUAAAGAAUCUUACAAAUGCAACAAAGACGAUGGAGGCUUUUCAUCGACAACAUCCAUCAAAAUGAAGAUGAAAAUCUUCUUUAUAAAAAAAACAACAUCUAGGCAAGAUAACAUGCUACUUUCAAUUCUUGUUUGUAGCUUCUUUGUAGUUGUGAUGUUCAAGAGAUGGAGAACCAACAACGAGCGGAUUCGACUCAAGAGCCUUCAUUUAUUGACCUGUCGGAUGAGAAAUUACAAUUGUCACAACCUUCAAGACGACGCAAUCGAGAUGAAGAUCUUCAAGAAUGAUAUGUUCUUCCUCGAAUAGAUGGCGAGAUAUAACAUGUUUGGUAUCACGAUUUGGGAAGGGAUUCUCGAUGUUUGGUGAUUUUUUUAGAGGUAGGAAUAACUUCUAAUGGUGUUCCAAAUAUUUUAUUCGAUGGAAGUUAUGAAGGCCUCAACAAUGAUCAAAUAAGUGGGUGGUCUUCUCGUCCUAGUAUGGGACACUACCGAUGGUUGAGAGGCCCUAUCAAUCAUCUUCAAAGAGAACAAAGAUUAGAGUAUGUGGCAAAUAUAAUUCAUCACAUCAUAGAUUUCUUCAACAUAUGAUGACUGCUCUUCGUGGAACUCGUUCCUAAAAAGGGGGGUUAUGUCAUGACAUACUUAUGUAAGCUAGAAAUUACAUAUGUAAAUAGGUAGAAAUAAAUAAAAGUAGAUAAAAGUAAUUUAAUUCUAUAGUAUUUAAUAUGGAAGCUUUCUAGAAGCUUCAUAGAUGCUGCUUUGACUUCAUAGGUGUCUUUAAUUGACUUUUUGGAUUAGAAACUUGGUCAACAAGUUAGCCAUGUGCCACACAUGUUGUUAGCUUGAAGAUGAAGCUAACUUUGUGGCCCACACAUAAAAAAACUUACCUUAUAAGUCAAGGCAUGUGUCCUACAAAGUCAAUACAUAUUGAAGGUUGUAUAGAACGUCGCCACGUAGCCCCUAGUUAGAUAGUAUAUAUAGAGACAAGAGUGAAGCCUUCUUCACUCUUGUCAACUCCUUUCUUACUUCCAAUCUAGUUUCAAGGGUCUUUAGUUUUCUUGUCUUUUGGCAAUAGCCAUUCCAGUUUCUCUUUCAAUAUACAUACUUAUUUAUUUAUAUUUUGUUACCUUUCUUUGAGUGAAGGCUCACUUGUCUAAAUUGCUUUUUCAUUUAGUUCUUGUCCUUGACAGAAACGAGUGUGACAUAGAUGACACAAGGUGAUUUUUUAUUUGCAGUAUGCAAGAAAGCUCUUGCACCCACAAAUAUAGGUUUAAUUGUACUAGACUUGUAAUUUUUUACUUGAUUAAUUAUAUUCUUAGUUAUACUUUUAGAAAAGUUGAGAGUUCAAAAAAUUCAAUCUUUUCAAGGAUUGUAUUUUUUUUACCAAGAUAAGCCUAAAAUGAUUAGAUUUAAGGGAGAUCUAAUGAUAUUAAAUAUUAGAAGUUUAUUAUAACCAUUAAUUAUUAUUUUUAUAGGGGAGAUUUUGUGCAUUACAGUUCCAAAAAAUAAAGAACAACCAUCUAUGACUUCUAUAUGAAGAGGUUUAGUUUUCUUUAUUAAAGAUAUACUAAGCCUUUUAGCAAAUUCUUCACUUAAAAAAUAUGUUGAGGCUCUUGAAUCUAACAAGACAGAGGCUUUGUAAUGUAUAGGUCUUAAAAUAAUAUUUAAUAUAAAACAAAAAGAUGGUUUUGAGGAGAAAAUAAAACCUUCAUUAGGUAUUAUAUAAGAUUCCAAUCGCACGGUCCCUAUUGUAGUUGGAUAAACUCAUUUUUCAAUAUAUUAUCUUCUUUGAUAUUUAUACUCUUCAUUUUAUAAUUGCGUCACUUCUUUGGAUAAUAUUGAGUAUUGUGCUUAAGUUUUCCACAAUAUAAGCACAAUCCUUCUUGAUGGCAAUGAAUAUUUUUUUAGUCAGUAAGAGAUUUGAAAUAUACCACAUCAAUUUGUAUAUCUUCUAGUUAUAAGUAUAUGUAUUGAGGAGGCAUUGGUGUUUCCAUUGAAUUAUAGUAAUGUUGAAGCCUACUUGCCCAAAUCUUAGAUCAAAAUUCAAAAAGUCGAUUAUCAUACUUUACAACAAAAUCAAUCACUUGAUUCAAUGUUUAAGAAUUAUGUAAGUUGAGCAUCAAUUUCUUUACUUCAUAUUAUAAUCCAUAGUCAAAUUGGCUAAUAAGUGUAGCAUUAUCACACUUAAUAUCAUUUGUAAGUUGUCAAAAUUAUAAAGCAUAUAAUAUUAUAGAAUAAUUAUCUUGUCGUAAAAUACAAAUCUUGUUGGUUGCAAUACGAGUUGUAUCAUGUUUUUCAUACAUGGAUUAAAACUUUGCUAAAAAAGUAUGAAGGACACAAAUAUGAAGAAGAUAUAUAAACUCGUAGAAUUUGUAUAAAAAAAAAAGUGAGAAAAUAGAAGAAAGUAUGUAUAUUCAAGGAAGAACUGGAAUGGCUAUUGCCAAAGACUAGAAAACAUAAGACUCUUGAAACUAGACUAAAAGCAAGAAAGGAGUUGAGAAGAGUGAGGAAGGCUUCAUUCUUGCCUCUAUAUAUACUACUUAAGUAAGAAUUAUGUAGCAACAUGCUAUAAAACCUCUAAUAUUCAUCCAACUUGAAGGACACAUGUCUAAUUUGUAAAGCAAGUUUCCUAUGUAUGUACCAUAUGUCCAAUUUAUACUAUAAGUGGUCAACAUGUCGACACAUGGCCUCUUUAUUGGUCAAGUUUUUAAUCUAGCAAUCACUAAUAGACAUGUAUAAAGGCAAAGCAGCAUCUAUGAAGCUUCUAGGAAGUUUUCUAUAAGAUAUUAUCUUAUUUAUCUACUUUGACUUAUUUCUAUCUAUUCUUAUUAUUUAGAUAAUUAUUAAAGUAAAUAUAUAUGUUCGUGAUAUUAUUUCCUUUUUUAGGAAUAAGUUCCACAAGGAGUAGUGAAUAUAUGUUGAUAAAGUCCAAGAUGUGCCAAACUGUAUUUGCCAUAUACUCGAAUCUUUGUUUUCUUCAAAGGUAGUUGAUAGGUUCUUUCAACCAUCAAUAAUAUUCCAUACUAGGGCAAAAAGACCACCUUAAUGUUUGAUGAUUAUUGAGGCCUUCAUAACUUCUUUCAAACAAAACAUUAGUAAUACCAUUAAAAGUGGUUCCUACCUCCAAAAGUAUCACUAAAUAUUGAGAGUCCCUUCCAAAGUUGUGAUAUCAAAUAUAUUGUAUCUUGCCAUCUAUUCGAAGAAAAACAUGUUGUUCUAGAGGAUCUUUAUCUCAAUUUUGCCAUCUUAAAGGUUGUGAUAGUCAUAAUGUCUCAUCAGGUAGCUCAGCAAAUGAUAGCUCUUGAGUUGAAUCUAUUGGUUGUUGAUUCUCCAUCUCCUAAGUACUAAAAAAUCCAAAGAAACAAUGAUAUAAGAUAGAAUGAAAUCUCCAUUGGGCUUGUUUUGCUUUAAAGCAAAGAAUUUCUUGACUCUUCAUCAUAGUUUUGAUAGAUGUUAUUGAUGAAAAGCUUUAACUUUAGUUGAUGCAUUUGCUAGAUUCCUAGAUGGCUCCCAUGUAUAUUCAUUAAUGUUAUAUCUAUGCCAAUGUAUCAGAUAUCCUAACCUAUUUUGGCACUACCUUGAAUCUAAAACUUCUUCCACAUCAUUUUUUUUUUUUUUUUUUUUAUUAUUGUCCACUUCUAUAAGAGGUGGUGGCAUUUUUCUCUUUCUUUGUAUAUCCAUUGUCUUAUAUGAUUCAAGUAAAGAUACAUGAAAUACAAGAUGGAUUUUCAUAGAAUUUGAUAGAUAUAAUCGAUAAUCAACUGGAUUGAUUUAUUCACAAAUGGAAAAUAGUCUAAGCCUACAAUAAUCCAGCUUGUCACAGGGACGAAUAAUUUUAAUAUUACGAUGAAGUAACCAUAUUUUAUCUUCAACAUAAAAUUGAGGUUGUUCUUUAUGAUAGAUAUUUGUGUUGGAUUUUUGUUGUUCUUGAGCUUCUAUUAAUUGUGCCUUCAUUAUUGCAUGUAGCUCUAAUAAUCGAUUUGCAACAUCUUUUGUUGCAAGAUUAUCAACUUUUGAAAAGCCAAAAGUAUCAAAUCGUGGAUGGUAACCAUAAUUAGUAAAAAAAUAUGUUUAUUGAGUAGAAAAUAUAUCAAAUUAUUAUAAGUAAACUCUGCUAAUGGCAAAAGAAUUGUCGAAUCAUCUUGUUGAUAGUUGAUGGUACACCUUAAAUAUUGCUCUAAAACUUGAUUUAUCCAUUUUGUUUGUCCAUCAGUUUGAGGGUGAAAAGUCGAAAAUAGUUUUACAUCCACCUUUAUUAUCUUAAAAAGAAUUCUCCAAAAUCUCAAUAAAAAUUGUAUUCCUUUGUAUGAUAUAAUAUUCUUUGGUAAUCUAUGAUAGUAAUAGAUGUUGUCAAGGAAGAGUUUAGUUAUUUCUUUACCUGUGAUAGAUUUUAUAUAUGGUACAAAAUAUGCCAUCUUGGUGAAAUAAUCUACAAUCACAAAUAUGGAGUUAUAUGAACUUGAAAUUGGAAGAUCUAUGAUAAAUCUAAAGAGAUAGAAGACCAUGGUUGUUCUUGUUUAUGUAAUGGUUGGAGGAGUCGAUAAAGUCGAUGAUAAGGAGUUUUUGAUCUUGAACAAACAUUACAUGUCUGUACAAAUUCUUUAAUAGCCUUCCACAUUUGAGGCCACCAAAAAUCUCUAAAUAUAAGCUUUAAAGUCUUAUUAUAUCCAAAAUGACUUGUUGCAAGGAAAUUAUAAUGAGCUUUGAGAGCAUAUAAUCAUGCUUCUCCUUUUAGAACAUAUAAACAUCUUUCAAAAUAGAAUAGGUUCUCUUUAAAUUCAAACUUGGAAGUAUCUUGAGACUUAGAAGAAUUUUUUUUAAUAACAUGAACAAGAAGGUUUUAGGACAUACUUGCUAGAAUCUGCUUAAAAAAAGUCAAAUCAACAAUCAAUAUUGAUUUCAUUUCUAAAAGAUGAAAUUAUUUUGGCUUCAAUAAAAUUAUUUUUUGUUAGUCAAAAGCUUUUUCUUUGUUUUUUGAUAUAAGUUAAGAACGUCUAUAAAAGGCAUCAUACAAACCUUAUUGUUUUCUUGGCCGAUAAGCAAUAGUUAACUUGAAUCUUGACAAAGAUAUGCUCCAACAAGCUUGGUGACGAUUCAAAAUAUGUGCUAACAUGAAAUACUUGAGGUUCUUUUGAUCCAUAUACAUAGUGAUUAGAUUUGAAGUGCCUUCUAAAUAAAGAUACCAUUCUUGAAAAGAAUCCAUAUUUGGAAGAAUUUUCUUGUUGUAGAUCUUAUAAUUAAUCUCGAUUGCUGAAAAUUUUCUUAAAUAAAAAGCUACUGAAUGAAAUUUGUCAUCUAUUCCUAUUUGUGACAAGACUACACUCAAGUCAAAGUCAAAUACAUCUAUCUCUAUAAAAAAUACUUUAGAGAAGUCAAUGUGAUGCAAGAUUGAUAUAGAAGUAAAAGCUUUCUUCAAAGCUUCAAAUGAUGCUUCUGCUUCUUUACUCCACUCAAGCUUGUCUUUACAAGUUAAGCGUAUAAGUGGCAGUGCAACUUGAGAAAAGUUCUUAAUAAAGAUCUGAUAAUAAUUAAAAUUUUUUUAAAAGUAUUGUACAUCUAUUAUUGCUUUUAAAAUCUUCGAAUCCAUGGUUGUGUGAAUUUUUUUAGGAUCCAUCAUUAGACCAUUGUUUGAAAUGAUGUAUUCUAAGAAGUUAACUUGAAUAGUGUGGAAUACACACUUUUUCAUCUUGGCAUACAAUUCUGCAUCUCUAAGUUUUUGUAACACCUAACAAAUAUGAACUUCAUAUUCAUCUGGAUUAUUAGAGUAGAUUAAAAUAUUGUCUAAGUAACAGAUUACAAAAUCAUCUAUAAUGUAAAGUGUAUUUUUUUUUGUAAGAAACUCACAAAAAAUAUCAUUCAUAAGAUGUUGAAAAAGAGCUGGUGCAUUCACGAGUCCAAAAAGUAUGACAUUAUAUUCAAAGUGUCCAUAUCUUGUUCAAAAUGCAGUCUUCCAUUCAUCUCCUUCUUUAAUAAGGAUCAAAUUAUAUGCUCUUUGUAGAUCUAUUUUUGUAUAAAUCUUAGCUUGAUUUAAUUAAUCAAAAUGUCUAGAUAUCAAAGACUAAGGAUAUCUAUUCUUGAUGGUAAUCUUUUUGAAUCGUCAAUAAUCCACACACAUUUACAAUGAUCCAUCUUUUUCUUCAUAAAUAAGAUAGAAGCUACUGCAUGAGAUUUUGAAUGGCUUAUGAAAUUCUUGGCCAAGUUCUCAUCAGUAUAUUUCUUAAAUUUAGCCAACUUAUUUUCUAAUAAAUUAUAGAUAGGAUCAAAUGGCAGCUGAGUUCCUUCUUUAAGAUGAACUGAACAAUCAUAUGGAUGAUGCUCUAAGAAAAUAUUUAUAUUCUUCUUUUCAAAAACAUCUUAAAAAUCUUAAUAUUGACUUGGAAUUAACUUGAAACCUUUCUAUUAUUUAAAAUAGAUGUGGCAUAAAUAACAAAAGAUGAUCCUUCUUUUACAGCAUGCAAAAAAGCUUUUACACCUAUAAGUAUAAGUUUGGCUAUACUAGAUUCAUGACUUUCUACUAGAUUAGAAAAACUCUUAAUGAUGUUUGAAGAAAAGUCAAGUUUACAAGAAAUCCAAUCUAUCAUAGGAUUAUAUUUUUUUAGCCAUGAUAAACCUAAAAUGACUAGUUUGGAAUAAGAUCUAAUUAUAUUAAAAAUUAUGUGACUAUUAUGACUAUUUAUUACUACAUCUAUAGGAAGUAUUUUAUGAGUAAUAUCUCCAAAAGAUAACAUAUGACCAUCUAUGAUUUCUACGUGUACGGGUUUAAUUUUUCAUACUAAUUAUAUAUUAUGACUUUUAAUAAAUUCUUCAUCUAAAAAAUAAGUUGAGGCUUCUGAAUCUAUAAAGGUAGAGGCUUUGUGAUUAUUAGAUUCUAAAUACACAUCUAUUGUAAAACAAGGAGAGGGUUCUAAGGAGAGAAUAUGACAUUUAUUAGGAAUUAUAUAAGAUUUCAACCGCACAAUUCCUAUUGUAGUUGGACAAAUUUGUAUUUUGACAUGUUUUCAUCUUUGAUAGCAGUAUUCAUCAUUUUAUAGUUGUAUCAUUUCUUAGGACAAUAUUGAGCAAUGUGCUUAGUUUUUCCAUAAUAUAAACAGUCAUUCUUGACUACGACAAGUCUUUUCUUGUUCGAUAAGAGGUUUUAAAUAAAUCAAAUUGAUUUGUAUGUCUUCUACUUCCAAAUAUUUAGAUUGAGAAGUCAUUAGUGUCAUCAUUAAAUUAUAAUAAUUUUAAGGUUUUUUUUAUGCAAUUUUGAGAUCAAAAUUCAAAAAGAAGAUUAUCACAUUUUGCAGCAAAGUCAAUUGCUUGAUUCAAUGUUGAAGGAUUAGAUAAAUUGAGCAUCAAUUUUUUUACUUCAUAUUGUAAUCUGUAGAGAAAUUGGCUGAUGAAUAUUCCAUCAUUUCACUUGAUAUCUGUCACUAUUUGUCAAAAUUAUGAAGCGUAUAAUAUCACUAAUCAAUUGUCUUGUCACAAGAUACAAAUCUUGUUGGUUGCAACAUGGAUUGUAUCAUGUUCUCCAUACAUAGAUUAAAAUCUACUAAGCAUGCUUCUAAAUUAUCCGAUAUUGGAUCACGUCAUUAAAAAAAUGAUGAAAAUCAUGAUAAAGCAGAAUCUGAAAGUAGUAUUCUAAUAAACCUAACUUGUGAUCCUUGAGUUGGAUAACUUUGAGGUUGUAGUUGAAUCACCAAUUUUACUUGAUUGAUGAAUCUUCAAAAUUUAGAUCUUGUACUAUCAAACUUCUGAAGCAAUGCAAUUUUUGAUUCUUUAAAACUUGAAUGAUGUUCCAUUGUAGGAGCAGUAGUAUGGCUUAGUGUAGAUGUUGAAGCAAUUUCAAUCAUCUUUGUAUCUUCAUUGCAUGAUAAUCUUAUUGCUCCUUGUGGUGGUAGAUUGAGUUGAUAUAUUAUAAGCAUUAAUUCUCUCAUUUGCUCUUACAUUUGAGCUAUUGCACUCUUUAUUUCAGCAAGCUUUGCCAUGCUAGCACAAUAAAAAGAAAAAAGUCUAUUUAUAUAAAAUAUAAUAUUAAAGAAUCAAGAUUUUUUUUUCUAAUCAAUUUAGGAGAAGAUAAUCUAUAACUUCUAAUACUCUUAUAUCUUAUUAAGAGAAAGGAAUAAUCUACUUUUAAUCAAAAAAAGAAAAAACUAUGAUAUUAUAUGUAUAAUCUAGUCAAUCUAUUGAGGACAGAAACUAGAAGAAGAUGGAUGAAUUCGUAGAAUUUGUAUAAAAAAAAAAGUGACAAAAUAGAAGAAAAUAUGUGUAUUCAAGGAAGAACUGGAAUGACUAUUGUCAAAGACUAGAAAACAUAAGACUCUUGAAACUAAACUAAAAGGAAGAAAGGAGUUGAUAAGAAUGAAGGAGGCCUCAUUCUUGCAUCUAUAUAUACUACUUAACUAAGAAAUUUGUGACAACAUAUUAUAGGACCUCUAAUAUGCAUCCAACUUAUAGGACUCAUGUCUAAUUUACAAGAUAAGUUUCUUAGGUAUAUGUCGUAUGUCCAACUUGUACUACAAGUAAUCAAUAUGUUGAUACAUGGCCUCUUUGUUGGCCAAGUUUUCAACCUAGCAAUCACCUAUACACAUUCACAAAGACAAACUAGCGUCUAUGAAGCUUCUAGAAAGCUAUCUACAAGAUAUUAUCAUAUUUGACUUAUUUCUACCUAUUAUCAUAAAUCCUCGAAACUUGAAUCUUGUACCAUCAAAAUUUUUAGAGAGGAUAUUUCUUGGUUUUCUAGUACUAAAAGAAUGUUCUAUUAUAGGAAAAAGAAUAAGAUUUGGUGUAGAUAUUGAAGCAACUCCAAUUAUAUCUAUAUCUUCACUUCUUGCCAUUAUUGUUGCUAUUUAUGGUAGUAAAUUGAGUUGAUGCAUUGUAAGCAUUAUUUUCCUUAAUUGCUCUUGUAUUGGCACCAUUCUAUUUUUCAUUUCAACAAGCUUUGCUAUGAUAAUACUUAAAAAGUCAAUGUCUAAUAUUGCUCAAGAUAAGUAGAAGAAGAGACUUGAGAACAAAGAAGAUACUAAGAACAGUAUUAGUUUAGAAGAGGGUAAUCUAUAACUUCUAAUAUGCUUAUGUCUUAUGAAGAAAUAGAUGUAAUCUACUUUUAAUCAAGAGAAGACAAAGCUCUAAUAUUAUAAAAGUACUCUUCUCAAUCUAUCAAAGAUCUAAACUAGAAGAAGAUGCAUAAACUUGAAAAUUUUAUAUUAAAAGAAAAAGUGACAAAAUAGUAAUAAAGUAGUAUGUAUAUUAAAAAAAAAAUUAGAAUGGCUAUUGCCAAAAUAUAAAGAAAAUUAGAGACUCUUAAAUCUAAACUAAAAGUAAGAAAAAAGUUGACAAGAAUAAAGAGAGCCUCAUUCUUAUCUCUAUAUAUACUAUCUAACUAAGAGCUACAUGGCGAUGUUUUAUAUGAUUUCUAAUAUGUGUUGACUUUGUAAAAUACAUGCCUUAAUUUACAAGAUAAUUUUUUUACAUGUGGGCCACAUAAUUAGCAUAUUCUUUGUGCUACCGAUAUGUGUGGCACAUGGCAAACUUGUUGACUAUAUUUUUAACCUAAAAAAUCAAUUAUAAAUACCUACAAAGUCAAAGCAGAGUCUAUGAAGCUUCUAUAGAAGAUAUUAUGGAGUUAAUCUACUUUUAUCUACUAUCAAAUAAUCAUGUAGGUAAUUAUUGGUUUACAUGUGUAUGCUCGUGACAUGUAGACCUUUUGGAUUUUCUUUACAUUAUUGGUUGGUGGCUAUGAGCAUUGGUCUUUUGUUGAGGCAACAAGCAAGUUGCUUUUUGUCGUUGCAAUAAAGAGACAAAGUAUAGAUAAGAAUUUUGAAUAAGUUGUAAUGAAAGUCUUCUCAAGAUUAAAAGAUUUAUAUUACUUCUUAUUUUGGACUUGUAAAACUUAUCAUAAGAGCUGUGCACUCUUAUUUCAAAAUUUGCCCUUGCAAAUUAAUUGAUACCAUCUUUUCUCUAGAUUAAUACUAGAUUCAAUAUUGAAUCUAUGUUUUUUUUUUUUUUUUUUUUUUUUUUUCUCUCUAUUUGUGCUUACUCAGACUGUAGAAGAAGGAUAAUUGUAUUUUAUUUUAUUUUAUUUGUAAGGAUAAAUUUCUCCCUCAACUAAAAUUAUAAGAUAGCCUUAAUCAAAAGUUUUCUGUAAUUGGUGGUAUGAAGUAAAAGAUAUAAUAUAUAAGAAAAAUAAAAAGAAUAAUACAAAAUAAGUGAAAUAAGUACAAUCAAAUAAUUGUAUACAAUAAAAGUAGUCUACAAUUUGUUCAUUAAAUUUUCAUCCAAUAAAAAAUAAAAGUAAAGAUUAAAAAGUAUUUUUUUAGAUAGGUAAUUUUAUUAUCUUUUUAUAUUAAUAAAAUCAAUUUAAAUCUACUAAAAAUUCUUUUUUAUAUAAUUGAUUAAAAAGAUAUGAAGGUGUGAGUCUCACAAUUUUUUUUUCUAACUACUAAUUAAUCAUUGAUAGGAUUUUUAUGAAUAAUACAUGUAGAUAAGAGACCAAUAAAGACAUUGGUCUCAAUAAUUAAUCCUUAAUAUUUAACAAAAAUAAAAAUACUAAAUUAACUAAGAUAAUUACCUUCAAGUCUUAUUAAGAUUCUAUUUUUAUAUAUAUAUAUAUAUAUAUUUUAAUAAGACUUUUGUAACUUAUAAAUACUUAAAUAAUCAAAAAGACUCUUUAACUUUAAUAUUUGUAUAAUUAAAUGACUUAAAACUAUGUUCUUAAUUAAUUUUUUAAUUAAGUUGCAUUAGUGGAAUUCACACCUUUGUGAUGCCGUGAAGUACAAGUGAAAUAGUCGAGUAUUAAUUAAGAUAUGUCUAAGUGUUGUUGUCAAGGUAUGAAUCAUGGAAUUGACUCACUAAUCUAUUUUAGUACAAAAAAUAUACUUAUGGUGCUUAAAGUCACUAGUUUAGGAAGUUAAAGUAGAAAAUUUGAACAUAAAUAGUAAAAAAUAGGAUGUCAAUUCAAAAAGGGAUCUUAGGGAAAAUUUCUUCAAGAAAGCAUUUUAAAAUAAAUAGUUUCUCUUUAAUAUUGCUAAUAUAAAUUUAUAAUAUUUUUUAGUAGAUUUUUUCUAUUAAAAGUUAAUUGAAUUAGGAGCUAAAUAUAAACUUGAUUUGGUCAAUUCAAAAAGAUUAGAAAGAAUAGAUGACGGAAUUAGAAGAAAAUACAAAAAAGAAAUAGAAGAAGAAAGAGAGAGGAAGAAAAGAAAGGGGUGAAGAAGAAGGAAAAAGUAGAGAGAAGGAUGGUAGGCGACUAGUAGGAGAGAGGAGAGAAAAAUAAAGAUAGAAGAAAAAGUAGAGAAAUAAAGAAAAAUCAGAAAAGAAGAGUAGAAGGAGAAAAGGAAAGAAAGAAAGAAGAGGAUCCCUUACCUUCCCGGAUUUUUAGGAGGCGAAGAUUGAUCCCAGUAUUCGGGGAAAGGCUGUCGGGAUGUCAUUUUUCCUCUCGUCUUCUUCUUCUUCUCCUCCCCCCCUUGUGUACUUGGUUGAAGCCAUGCAGGUGUGGUUUUCCACUAUUUUCUGUCCAUGGAAUUGCGGCGGUUCGAGGUUGGAGCUCAGUUUUUGUUUUAUUUUUUAUUUUUUUAUUGUUGCGUUCCGGAAAGUUCAACCGCAGCAAGGGAGUGUCGCCGGCUGAAGUGGUGCGGACUGUUGGCGGGUAUUUUUUCCCCGAGACGGAUUGGUGGUUCAGCGCCGGACUCGUCCUUGUUCUCGCGUACUUUGGGUUCCAUCGGUGGGGGUAGUGCGGCGUGAGGCGAUCUUCUCCUAUUCGGUUGCUGCAGUGGUGCUACAGUAUGUUGGACAUUGGGCUUGAGUGCAAGUGGUCAAGGACGACUGGUUAUUUCUUUUCGGGGCAGUGUGACGCUUGAGCGGCGGCUGGUGUCAGUGACGGCGUCGACGGUGGGAUCUUGCUGUGGAAGCUCCACACUAGGCGGAUCAGGUUUUUUUUCCUCCGACUGUGUGUGCUGCGACGAGCGAUUCGACGUCACUGUUGAAUUCGGAGCGCUGUGUCAUUGCGUGGCACUGCUGUAACGUGCCUUCUACGGUGACGGCAAUAACUAAGGUGUCAGUUCAGCCCCGCAUUUUCUCCAGCUAUUUGCGUCUCUCUCUGCUUCUUAGAUUUUGUGCACACGGCGAUUCCAGAAGGGGCUCUGGUUCCACUUGCUCUCUUGAUGUGGUGGCAAAGGCUCGGCUUCAACUGUUUUUUUUUUUUUGCUUCUCUUCUGUUGGUGGCGAUACUAGGGCCUCGGUUCCUUGACGAGCCAGGCUGUUGUAGCAGCACUUGGAAUUAACGGCAAUGUCGAUGGUUUAUACUAGGCGCCGUUAAAGUGCAGCUGGAGUUCGAGUGGAGUUGUGGUGUUUAACUCUUUUCGUGGUUACCACGAUUCGGUGUCUUGUUUACUCUCGCUAUUCAACUGUGGCGGUGCUGUUUGCGUUGCGAAGUGGCGUGUUUUGUUUUUUCUUUUCCUCUUCCUGGUUGCUUUUGGUUGAUUAUUGUCAACGGGUUGUCUGUCCUAGUGGAGUUGGUUGUUCCUGUCAUUGAAAUCUGCAAGUGGCAAUAAUCAAUUGCAGUGGAUAUAUAUAUAUAUAUAUAUAUUUUCUCCCUUAGUUUUAUUAUUAAAAAUAAAAUAAAAUGAAGAGUUGCUUGGAUGUGUGGCUCUUGUGACACUACCCUUUGUAGCAGCCUCGGUAUAAGUGGGUGUUAGAUUCUUUUUCUCUAUGGCGGCGGUUCAGGUGGAACUCGGAUAUUGGAUUUUGCGGCUGCUUCUAUAUUGCCGUCGGUUCCUGUUUUCCUCCUCAGCACCUUCUCUUCUUCGAGUUGCCGCUCCCUUGCGCUCACCCUCUUCCUCGACUGCUCCUUGAUCGUUGUUGCUGCUGCCUAGGAGCACUUGCCGUUUUCUACUCUUCAGAUCUUUAUUUCUCCUUUUCCAUCAAGUGUGCAUAUCAUCGCUACUGGGUGGUCCGCUUCGACGCAGCCUUUGCCGACGUGAAGUGUGAUGUGAAAUUCUGCUCGUGGCAUUUGGAAGAUGGGUUACAUAACAAAAGUUAUCUUCAUAAUUGUUGCAAGGAUCGAGGAGAACCAUAGCCGAGGAGUAUUCAAAAAUAUUUCGGAGCCUUGUGUGGAUUGCAACUUGUGAGUAUGUCGUGGCUGUUUUUCUUGCAACCAGCCACCUAAUAUCAAGAGAAGGGCAAGGAAAGACAUCACGCUGGACGAGCUGUGGUUGCUGGAUCAGACCUCAUAUUGGAGUACAUUCUCGUGGCCUUUCUUAUCUUAGUGUAGUAUUGAUUUGAUAGGUUGGUAGCAAGGAUGUUUGCACCACCGAUGUAGUACAGUUGGGAGUUAUCCACAAGAUAUGAUCCUGCACUAAGUGGUACUCGAGGGCAAGAAGUGCUGUCCUAUCAAAUCAUCCUACAACAAUUGGGACUUCUUCUGCAUCAAAAAGUCACUUAGUGGGUUAUUCAAAAUCUUGCUCGAUGAAUUCAUGCUAUAUGACGACCUCUUGAUUCAAUUAGGUCAUUCAUAGAUGAAUUAGGCUUUAAAGAUUGGAUUUAUAGAUGAGAAUUGAUUGAAUUUGGAUGCUUUUUUUAUUCAUGGAUGGAAAUUCAUUCAUAGAUAAGAAAUUGUUAUAGAUAGAAGUUUUAAUUUGGAUAAAUAUUUUAUUAAAUAAUAAAAUAUAAAAUAAUAAAAAUAGAAAAAGAAAUAUAUAGUAUGAAACAUCAUAAAAACAUUUUUUUUUAAGUGUAUGUGGUUUUUGUAUUGUUGUGUAGUUUAUAUUAUGGAUUGUAGGUAAUGGAGUCUGAAUUUAAUUUGUAAAAGGGUUAAUAUCUCUUAAUGUUUAUUUAAUCAUUCGUAAGUUAAUUAGUAGUUGUGGAUCACAUACUAGAAUAAAAUCACCUACUAGAAUGGUUUAUUUUAUUUCAUAUUUAAAAUGAAUUUAAAUUCUUUGAACUUUUAAUCAAAUACUAACUAAUAAUUGUUAGAAUAUUUAGAUAAUUAAAUUGUUAUAAAUUAAAAUAUGCUUUCAACUAGUCGGAUUUUAUUUUAGUUCACAAGAGAUGUGUCAUUGAUUGAAGGACAAAGACCUUACUUCAGAGUUGCAUUGAUGAUCCAUUACAUCUACAACAACAAAUUGACAUCAAUAUAUGGUUUUAAUAUUUACCUGGAAAUUCAGCCAAUUAAUGACAUGAAUUUGGAGUAGUGAUUUUGUAUUGUUGAUACAAAAAUGACAUUCAUGUCAACUACAUAAUUGUCUCUUACACAUGAGACUUUUAGAACUCAAUUGAGGAAGACAUUAAUAUCACAUCCUUGGUACUUUAGACUCUAAAUUAGUCUUUUGCACAUAUUAGCUGUUAGGAUAGUGGUGUGGUUAAAUUCUCAUUCACUGUUGUUUGAUUUGAAUUAUAAUCGCUUCAUACUUGUACAGUGUUAAUCCAUACCAAUAGAGUCACAAUACAUUUCACUAAGAUCUUCUAAAUAGAAGGCUUAGUAUUAAUAAAAUCAAAAUAAAAGAAAGGAUAUUUGAUGACUAAGUAGUGUAUAGAGGCAUUAGAAUCAAAGGUGGUGAGCAAACAAGCUAUAGUUCUCAACAAAUUGGUUUAGCACAAAUCUAGGCUAGAAUCAAGUUUGAUUACAAUAAAGAAACAAAUUUUUUCACUAGCAAGAAGAAAAGCAAUUAAGUUUCUUCAACCUUCUUACUUGUAAUGGCUACUACUAAAUUUCAAGGAUAUGAAUAGGAAGAUGAUGUAUAAACCAAUAAAAUCUAUAUCAAAGAAAAAGUGACAAAAUAUAAAUAAGAAAGUACGUAUAUUAAAAAGAAACUAGAAAGGCUUGUUUUCAAAAGACAAGAAAAAUUGAGAUUCUUGAAACUAGACUAGAAGCAAGAAAUGAGUUGACAAUAGUGAAGAGGGCUUCAUUCUUGCCUCUAUAUAUACUAUCUAACUAAGAGCUAUGUGGCGAUAUUCUAUAAGACCUCUAAUAUGUGUUGACUUUGUAAGACACAUGCUUUUGCUUAUAAGACAAGUUUUUUAUGUGUGGGCCACAUAGUUAGCUUGUCCUUCAAGCCACCAAUAUGUGUGGUACAUAGUUAUCUUGUUGACCAAGUUUCUAACCUAAAAUUUAACAAUGGACACCUAUAAAAUCAAAGCAGCAUCUAUAAAGCUUCUAAGAAGUUACUUUAAAAGAUAUUCUACAAUUAACUUACUUUUAUCUAUUUCUAUCUACUUCUACCUAUUUAUACAAGUAAUUAUUGCCUUACAUGUAUAUGUUCAUGACAUUAUCUCCCCUUUUAGAGAUGAAUUCCAUGAAGAGCAGUCAUCAUAUGUUGAGAAAAUCUAUGAUGUGAUAAAUUAUAUUUGUUACAUAUUCAAAUCUUUCUUCUCUUUAAAGAUGGUUAAUAGAACCUUUCAAUCAUUAAUAGUAUCUUAUAUUAGAGCGGUGUCAUAGAGACAAAGUUUGUCUUGAGAAAACACUAGACUUCUUAUUACUACUGAUUGCUCUACUAUAUUGUAAUUCUAGAACAUUCACAACACUUUACAAAACAUGAAUCCUUUUUGAAUUCACUUGCUUUUAUAUCAAGAAGUCCCUUUCUUUAAAUAUUUGUAAAAAAAAAAAAAAUAAAAAAAAAAAUACAAGAGAGCCAAAAUUCUCCUAAAGAAUCUUUAUAUCCCCUUCCUAAGAUGGUUGCUCUUCUUUUCUCUAAAAUUUUCCACCAUAAAUCCUACCUCUAAAUCUUAAAUCCUAAACCUUAAUUUCUUAUAUAUAUAUAUAUAUAUAUAUAUAUAUAUUUGAGUAUGUAUAUGUCUUGAAAGAAAAAUAAAAAUAUAAAAAAUAUAGGGUUGAGGAUUCCAGAGGAUUGAUGCCAUUGCACUUUAAACUACUACUAACUUAUGGCUUCUUCUUUUUUAGGGGAAGCUAUGUACCAAUCUAUUAGGAAGAUGAAUAUAUAGAAGGCAUGGGCAUCAUACAUCAUGUUAUCAUUAAGAGAGAUUCCUUACUCCUAUCCAUAGGUGACAAGUGUCCUUAUCACCUAACAUAAUCUCCUAAUACAAGCAUUGCAGGGCUAACCCUCUGGAUAUCCUCAAUAAAUUAAUUGAGGAUUUUUGAAAAAUAUUCUUUUUCAAUCUUCCUUCUAUGUGCUACCAUGGAACUUUGAAUUCAGGACCUCUUAGAUGCCAUUUAGGCACCCUAUCAUCUAUUCAUCUCCAGAAGCCUAAGUUACCACUUGAUGUCCAUAGUCUUAAUUCUUUCUCCUAUAAGCUUGCUUCCCGACUUCUUUCCCUUCUUUAAAUCUCUAUUUCUCACAAACCAUAAUUUAUUUUCUAUAAAACUUUACAGAUCUAUUUAUAGACCUAUUAAGAAUAUAUGUACAAAUUUUUAUAUUAAAUAGAUACUUUAAAAUUUUAAUUAUCCUAAAUCCUAAUUUCUCCUUGUAUAAACUUAUUUUUUUAAUUUUUAUCAAAUAUAAUACUUAUUGCUAAUAGAAUUCAUUCACAUAUAUAUAUAUAUAUAUAUAUAUUUAUUAAUCUUUAUUUUAAUUUAAUAUUUAAUUAAAUAAUUAAUUUUUAUUUCUAAUUAUUUUUUUAAAAUAUAUUUCAUAAAAUAAAAAAUAUAACUUAAAAACAAAUAGAUUUAAUAAUUCUUAUCUAGUUUUUAUAUAUCGUGCUCAAACAUGAUACGACAUCCAUUCCCUCCAAUCUUGCACAUCCUCCGGAAUGUGCCAUCAAUCCUCUUCACUUUCUUCAAAUUCUAUCAACAUUGCCUUGAAUUCUUGAUCUUCUUGAUCUCCUUCUUUUUAUUGUUGUAAAGAGCCAAUAUUAUCUUCUUUGUUGAUUCUUGUAUUUCUUUGCUUAAAGACCUUCAUUCGCUUGCUUGCCACUAGAUUUUUGAUAAUUAUUCUAUCUAACUCACGUAAAGAAUAAAUGACAUUAUCAUGGACUAUAGUUACCACAUAAGGUCUAAACUACUUCUUUGCAAACUUCUUGGCUAUGCUAUAUUGAUGGAUCAAGCUACUAUCAUAAAUUAAAACCCAAUCUUCAAUUUAUAUGGAUUUAGGUCUUAAUCAAUGUAUCUUAUCAAAUCUUUCUUUAUUUUUUAAUCGAGCUACUUUUAACUUCUCUGUUGCUGCUUCCAAAUCUUCUAUUAACUUCAUUAAUUGUUGAAUUUGGAAUUCCAAUAGGCUUUUUCUAUCAAUUUCAUCUUUCCAAGAUAAAAAAAUCCAUAUAAGAUAAGAUUCUUUAGUUGGCAUAAUUGGUUUUUGUCCUAGCAUUAACUCAAUGGGCAUGUGAUUGGUUAUCGUACUAUGAGUAGUCCUAUCAGCCCACAAUGCAAAUAGAAGCAAUUUUGGCUAUUGUAUUGACUUACCUUUACAAGCUUUCACUAAUGCAUUAAUGAUAGGACGAUGAUUUCUUUCACUUUUAUUAUUUGCUUUCACAUUAUAAGAAGUAGUUAAUUUCAAUUGAACUCCAUAUCUUUUAAAGAAUUUCCUUGCCUCCAUUGCAUCUAAUUUUCCUCUAUCUCCUCUCAUCUUUCCAAUAUUGCCAUUGUCAUACUACAAUUGCUUAUAAUAAGUAAAAAAUAAUUAAGAUAUAUAAUAUAUUUAUAAAUCUUGAUGUAGAUUAGAAUGGUUAGUAAAUAAAUUUAAAGAGAAUUGAUAUAAGAAAAUUGAUUUGGAGAUUUAUCUAUUUUGAUUAUAGUGUUUAUAUUAUGUAGGAUUUAGAUAUUUAGUAUAAAGCUUAAGAGAAGGUUGGAGUUUAAAGAUGAAAGUCUAAACUAUUAGGAGGCUUAUUGAGAAGGAUGAAAAUAAGGUAUGGUUGGAUGAAGGCAAGGGGUAAAGACCUUCAUCCCUAUUGGUCAAAUAUCAUGCCUAAUGGACUUCAAGGAGGCUACUCGAGGCCUUAUUAGGGAUUAGGGUUUCUCUUUCGAAAUAAUUCGAGCUUUGGAGGCUAGGAUCAGAAAGUUCACGGUUUUGGAUAUAUUUUGGGUGAAGAAUUUGUGUGAUUUCGAGUUUUUGUGAAGGAGAUAUGGGUGUUCAAAGUUAAAGUAUCAAAUUUGUACCUACUGUCACUUUUUGAAGCAUAACAUAUGCAUACGAAGAGCAAUGAAAGAUCGGCAACUAGAAUUGGAGAGAAAACUUUCUUGGCUAUAUUUUACAUAUAUUUUUUGAUGAAUUCCAAGUUUGGAUGAAGGAGUUAUAGGCCAUUGAAGAUAGUACAUGUAAUUCAAAGGCAACAAGGGAGUCAUUUUGUUGAUAGUAAUGGUUGGAGCUAUAUCUUGAGUUUUUGGAUGAAUUUUGGGCCCAAAAUUUCCAUAAUUUUAAAUUUUAAGGUUAAAAAGAUAUAGAUCAAAGUUUCAUGGUAUUUUAAUACUUAUUUUUUGAGAUAUGAAAAAAAUAGCACAUAGGUUUAUAUAAGCUAGGAUUUAAAGCUACUGUUAGGAUUUUAGUGAUAUCUCAAGAUUCGUAACGAAUUUGCAAUUGAAUUUUUUUUAGUAGCUUUUGAAAUUAUAUCAGUAUGUCAUGUAAAAUUUUAGGUUUUAUGGACGGUCCAAUCGUGAGAUAUGAACUAUUUUUUUAUGAACUGUUUUGUGAGAUUGAAGUUUGGAAAAUAUUACUCAUAAGAAUAUAUAAGGCUUUAAGAUACUUUAUCAUAUAUUUGGGUGUUUUCUUGGUACUUGGGCUUAUGUAUUGAUGUAAUUUCCCUAAAAGGGAAAAUAUUAUAUAUAUAAACUUGAUACUUUUAUACCUUAGACUUGAUUGAGUAUUUAGUGGCAGCUAGAAGCCCAGUGCUUUUUUGAGGCAAAUUCACUUUAUUCCAACACCGUAUCGGCUAAAAAAAUAUUUCAAUAUAAAUUGACAUACUCCUUCUAUAGACUUGGUUCUUAAAGUCCUUCCUUCAAUAAAAUUUGAUAAUCCUUUAUUUGCCAAAACCAAAUAUUUCAUGCCCCAAAGCCCAGAUGGCAUAACUAUUAAAUCAAUCACUCAUUUAAAAUGAAUAAAAGGUGGAUAGGUAGGUCAAAGUCCAUCCCUAUAUUUAAUCUUAGAUUGUACUUAGCAAUCUAUACAAGAGUCCACAAAGUCUUCUAUAUCUUUGAAUAGUCCUUUCUACCAAUACUUCUCUCUAAUUUUGGUAUAAGUGGCCCAAAUUCCUCUAUGAUCACGCCAAAGUGUGCCAUGAAAUUUUUCUAGAACCUUGUUUUAGUCAUUGGAUCUCCUACCACCUAUAAUCGGAACUUAUCACCUCUCUUUGGUCUCUUCUAUAAAAAUCCAUCUUUGAGAAGAUAGUCAUAUGAUUGAUGUCAAAUAUACUUAAAACACUUAUCUAACCAACCUUCUUGCUUCUUCAUUGUACUUAAAUAAAUUCUAAUAUCUUUAAGCCUCUCUUCAUAUAGAUUAUUUUUCAAGACUUCAAUCCUUUCAUUACAAUUCACUUCUUUGAUGGCAAAUGAAUAUCCAUAGGUCUUUUUAUUUCCAUCUUCUCCAUCUUUAUGAGCCAUCAUCUCUUCUUCACCAACAUAUCUAGUUUUAAACAACAUAUCUAUUAUCAAAUUAACUUUAGUAGUGAUGUGAUUCAAAACCGGAUUUAAUGUUUGAAUAUAAGCUAUCUAUCUUAACAUAGCAAUAUUCGAGGUAGAACAAUUACUUACUAUGCCAAGUAAAGGUAGGCAAUCCAUUUCUAAAACCACAUUGGCUCUAAUCAAGUAAUUUCUCUCAGCCUUUAAAGCUGUAAGAGCUCCUCAAAAUUCACGUUUAAUUUGUGGAUAUGCUCUUUGUCUAUCUGUAAGAAUUCUGACUCCAAAUCUUAGAACAAAUUUCUUUCCUUCUUAAUCAUUUUGUCCAAUAGCCCAUCCAAUUGCUAUUAGAUUAGUAUCCACCAUUACUACUAUUGACCUUCCACAUUGAUAAUCCACUUAUUUAAGGAUAGGUGGUGAAGUUGAAAUCUUCUUCAAAUUUUCCAUAGCUUCUUUAUGUUCUUCCUUUCAAAUAAAUUUUUUACCUUUUUUCAAUAACUUGUAUAGUGGUUUUGAAAUGUAGGCAAAAUGAGGCACCCAAAUAUGAUAAAACAUACAUACAUCCAAAAAUCUUUUAACUUCAGUAAUACUAUUGCAUACUUUCAUUUUGGAUAUAGCAUUAACCUUAUCUGGAUUUGGUUUCCUAUCAUAUUUUUUAUACAUAUACUCUACUAUUAGAAUUUUUUCGACUCCAAAAAUUGAUUUCUUCAAAGAUAAUGUCAAGUUUACUAAUUGAACCUUCUCCAAUAUUUGCACCACAUCUUCAAUAUGUUUCUUAAUAAAUAUUCUACAACCAUUUGCAUCAAUAGUUUCAUCUCUUUCUUCAUAAUUGUAACCUUUCAUUGGUAUAUUAUCCAAAAAUAGAAUGGUCUUCUCUAGCACAAAUUCUUUUAAUAUAUGAUUCAUUGCAUUUUACAUAUGAGCCACUGAAUUGGUUGCACCUUCAAGUAAGGUACACAUAUUCAUCAAAUCCAAUGGAGUUUUCAUGGUUGUAAGAUCCCUACUUUUUUCUGCCAAUUAGAAUUGAUCAUACCCUGAAUAUAAGUCUCCAAUAGAAUAGAUAGCAUGACCAGCAAAUUAUUCUGCUACUUCAUCUAUAAUCAAUCCGGAUUCCAUAUUUCUAAUGGUUACCUUGUUUGCUUAUUGCAUAUCUUAAAUGAAUCUCAAUGCUUUUGAUUUCUUAGACAGUGUGAACCAUCUAUUUGAAUAGGGAGCAAUUAAAGGUUCUAGAAUUCCCAUCUUUACCUUUUCUUUCAAUAAUUUUAUUAAUUUAUAAAGUAAAGCUCUUGAUAUUGGAAUAGGCUUCAAAUCCCAUGGAACAUGUGGCACAGUGAAAAUCACCAUUGAUGCAAUAAUACUAGGAUCCACACAACCUAUCUCAUUAGGAGUUAAGGCAAAUACUUUACUAUGUCUAAUAAGCAUUUCUUGAAACAUCUUCUUUUUUGAUGUUGUUAAAAAUUCACUCCCUCCAAUCUUUAGUUUAGUCAAUGACUCCUUAGUGAAUUAAUAUUAAAUGUCUUGCUUUUCCUUUAAUCCUAGCUCUUUAAGUACUUGCUUGAUAUAUUUCAUUGUAUUGGGUGGUAAUUGAGUAGCUACCUGCUUAACCUUCUUAGCCACAAUUUAUCCAUACUUCUUCUUCUUUGCAUGUUGCUAUGCUUUCCAAAACCAUCAUCAAAUCAUAUUCUAAACCUACCUCUUCUAUUACUCCAUCUAUAGCCUAUUUUUUUGAAAUCAAACUCAUAUUUUUAAAGUUUUUUUCUUAUUUUUUCAUCCUUCUUCUAUAUACUGAAUUCAAAUCUUUAAUUUUUCUAAAACUCAUAAAGCUACUUUCAUUCAAAUCUAAAAAUAUAUUAUUCAAAAUAUUUAUACUAAGAUUGGCAUAAUUUUCAUUUGUACCCUUGUAUCUCUUUUUUAUAAGGAUGCUCUCUAAAAAUCUAAAAAUCUAUCUUUAGAUUCCAAAUAUAUUUCUCUUAAUUGAUCUCGAUGCCUCUCAUGAAUAGGCUUAAUCAUAAGGAAUUGUACUGCCUUCUUUUCAUCACAACUAUGAAUCCUAGCAUAAUGUGAACUAUCAUCCAAAAUUCUAAUUUCCAUUCUUGCAGCAAUGAUAUAAGAUUGAUCAAGAAUUAUCAGAUAUGUAGCUAAAUUUUGCACAAAUUUUUUUUGUUCUACCUCUACAUCUCCAAUUUUUGUUUUUAUUACUAUGCAAGCUCCAUAAAGAUCUCUUUGUUAAUUAUUUGUUACUCUAAUCAUCCAUCUAUGAUUCAUUUUGAUUGGCCACUUAUCCUUUUCAUACACUUUUUUUGAUAUGAUGUUAAUUUCUGAUCCAUAAUCAAUCAAUGCCAACAUUGGAUUAUUUAAAUUGCCAAGCUUUAUUUGUAUCUCUAUCAUUACUCUAGCCCAAUAAGAAUUCAAAUAGCUCACUUUAUCUUCUUUUUGAUCAUCACACUUAAUAUAAUUUAUAACUAGAGCUUCUUAUUCUUGAUGUACUUCCAUAAGCAUAUUAUUAUUGAUCAAAGUCUUAUCUUUUAAGUUUACUUUUCUCCUUGCACAUUAUUCAAAUACGUGUCCUAUGUCUUCUUCUUCAACUUGAGUCAUCCGAGUAUCUAAUGCCUUAAUCAUAAUAGCCUUGGCUGUCAUUUGUCUCUUUCUUUUUAUUACAUCAAUGAUCAAUUAAUGAAAAUCCUUCUUUGCUAUACCAAGAGCUUUCCUCAAGGUAAACUCAAUUUUGGCAUCCAAAAUGUUUUCUUCCAAAAUAUUCUUCAUGUCAGUAGAUAUUUCAAUAUCAGAUUGAAGUUUGUAAGUAGGAUUUUUAUCUUUGACCUUCUCUAAUGCAUCUUUUUUAUUUUCUUUCUUCUUCUUUGGUCUUCUUUUCUUAUUUGGAAAUUCAAUAGAAUUUUCUUAUUGAGUAGCUCUACCUCUCUUUUCUUCAAAUGCAACACCAUACAAACUAGCAACUUAUUGAUCUUCUCCUAAAAACGUUCUAGUACUCAAAGCAUCAACAGGAUCUUUCCAUCUAGUCAUUUUUCUAAUAACCUCACCUCUUCUUUUCAAAACAUCUAUUGUAGAUGAAUCUGUAACCUUUACUUUUCUUUGUUCCACUUUAAUGGCAUAAGAUUUUACUUCUUUUUUAGAUAUAAUACUACUCUUAUUAAUUUAUUCUUCUAUCAAUUUUUUCAUACCUAUUUUUCUAAAGUUGGUCCUAAGAGGUUCAGCAGAGCUUGAAAGUCUUAUCCUUCCUUCUUUGAAAUGAACAAUUCCUUCUUUGAUUGCCACUUUAUAAUUAUCACAUUCAUCCCAUUUGUGGCUUGGACUGUCACCCUACAUACAUCUUUUGAUAUAUUCUCUAGUUCCUUUUAGAACAUUUGAUGCAUUAGAUUUUUGAGAUUUUUUCAAUUCUAUCAUUUCCACCUUGAAAUCUCUCAUACCUUUGAUUAAUUCUUCUAAUACUUCAUCAUGAAUAACUUUACUCAUCUUUUGAAUUGAUGAAGAAGUUUGAACAAUGGGCGCUAGAUCCACUUAUGCUAGAUAACUUCAAGUCUUGAGCUUUUGUUGCUUAGCCAAAAGUCCAACUGCUUCCUUCAUCUUUUUCCAAUUGUUAGUAAAGCCAUUCUUAGAUGCUUUAUCUGAUAAAUGAAAGAGUAAUUUUUUCUUCAAUUCAUCAUUUGUUGCUUGCAAAAAUCACUCAAUUUUCCUUGUAUCUAGCAAUUGCCUUUCAUACCUUGGUAAUUGGCUGAAUUUCUUCUCAAAAUCCUUAAUUAAUUCACUUGAGAACAUUUGAUAUGCAAUCCUUUGUUCAAUCUACUCUAAAAAUGACCUCUUAGUCAUUCUUUCUGAAUCUUCUUCAAAAAAUUCAUCUUUGAGUCAUUCUACAAAUUUGCUCGAAGAAAUAGAGUCUUCAUGCAACUCUUUCAUUCUUUCCCUAAUCUCGGAAAUAACAGCAAGAUCAAAAGUAGAGAUCAUCUUCACCUUUAGAACUUGAUGAACUUCCACCUUGCAUAUGUAGAUCCUAAGGAAGUUGAUGAUGUUUCUUCCUUCAAAUCUUUCCAUCUUGUCAACAACACUUUAUAAGGCUUUUGUAGUACCUUUGCCACACUCUUGAAUUUGUUGCCCUUGCUCCAUGAAUUUGAGAAAUGCUCGAAACAAGUCAUUUGAAGCAAUUUGUCUUGGCAUUGAAAAACCUAAAUCAACAUCUUCCAUUGUCCCUAGGAAAGCAAUAAGUGCUUCAAGGCUCUCUAAAUGGAAUUACCAAUAUAACGUGGAGAGAGAGUUUGCCUUAAAAAAACACUGGACUUCUUACUGCUACUAAUUGUUCUACUAUAUCGUAAUUCUAGAACAUUCAUAAUACUCUAUUAAACAUGAAUCAUUUCUAAAUUCACUUGCUCUCAUACCAAGAAGUCCCUUUCUUUAAACAUUUGUAAAAAAAAUAAAUAAAUAAAUAAAAAAAAUACAAGAGAGCAAAAAUUCUCCUAAAGAGUCCUUAUAUCUCCCUUCUUAGACGGUUGUCCUUCUUUUCUCCAAAAUUCCAAACCCUAAAUCCUACUUCUAAACCUUAAAUCUUAAAUCCUACUUUCAAAUCUUAAAUCCUAAAUCCUACUCUCAAAUCCUAAACCUUAAUCUCUCUCUCUCUCUCUCUCUCUUUCUCUCUCUCUCUAUAUAUAUAUAUAUAUAUAUCUAUAUAUUCAAACAUAUAUAUAUAUAUAUAUAUAUAUAUAUAUAUAUAUAUAUGUCUUGAAAGAAAAAGAAUAAAAAUAAAAUAUAGGGUUGAGGAUUCCAGAGGAUUGAUGCUAUUGCACUUUAAGCCACUACCAACUUGUGGCUUCUUCUUUUUUAAAAGAAGCUAUAUACCAAUUUAUGAGGAAGAUGAAUAUACAGAAGACAUGGGCAUCUCACAUCAUGCUACUAUUAAGGAAAAUUCCUUAUUCCCGCCCAUAGAUGACAAGUGUCUUUGCCACCUAACAUAAUCCCCUAAUGCAAGCAUUGUAGGGCCAAUCCUCUGGAUAUCCUAAAUAAAUUAAUUGAGAAUUUUUGAAAAAUAUUCUUUUUCCAUCUUCCCUCCACGUACUACCAUGGAGACUUGAACUCAGGACUUCUUAGGUGCCACUCAAGCACCCUAUCAUCUAUCCAACUCCAUAAGCCCAAGUCACUACUUGAUAUCUAUAGCUUCAAUUCCUUUUCCUAUAAGCUUGCUAUUCCACCUCUUUUCCUUCUUUAAAUCUCUAUUUUUUAUAAACCAUAAUUUAUUUUCUAUAAAACUUUAAAUACCUUUUUGUAGACCUAUUAAAAAUAUAUGUACAAAUUUUUACAUUAAAUGGAUACUUUAAAAUUUUAAUUAUCCUAAAUCCUAAUUUUUUCUUAUAUAAACUUAUUUUUUAAUUUCUAUCAACUACAAUACUUAUUGCUAAUAGAAUUCACUCAUAUAUAUAUAUAUAUAUAUAUAUAUAUAUAUAUAAUCUUUAUUCUAAUUUAAUACUUAAUUAAGUAAUCAAUUUUUAUUUAUAAUUAUUUUUUUAAUUAUUUUAUUAAAUAAAAAAACAUAAGUUAAAAACUAAUAGAUUUAAUAAUUCUUAUCUAGUUUUUAUAUAUCAUGCUCAAACAUGACACGACAGUGGGAAGACCACCUUGUUAUUUGAUCAUUGUUGAGGCCUUUAUAACUUCCUUCAAUUAAAACAUUUGGAAUACUAUCAAGAAUUGUUCCUACUUCUAAUAAAAUUACCAAGCAUCGGAAGACUCUUCCAAGAUCGUGAUAUCAAAUACAUUAUAUCUUGUCAUAUAUUUGAUGGAAAAUAUGUUGUUCUUGACGAUCUUCAUCUCAAAUAUGUUGUCUUGAAGGUUGUGACAAUCAGAUUGUCUUAUCCUGUAAGUCAACAAACAAAGAUUCUUAAGUCAAAUCCACUAGUUGUUGGUUUUCUAUUUUUUCAGUGUUACAAAUACAAAAAAGCUACAAACAAAGAUUGAAAGUAGAAUGCUAUCUUGCCUAGAUCUUGUUUCAUUUAUAGGAAAAGUCUUCAUCUUGAUUUUGAUGGAUGUCAUCAAUGAAAAACCUCCACCUUCUUUGCUGCAUUUGUAAGAUUCUUUGUGGGCUCCCAUGUACAUUCAUUAAUAUUGUAUCUGUGCCUAUGAAUAAGAUAUUUUAAUUUAUUUUGGCUUCACCUUGAAUCUAAGACUAUUCUAUUCAAAUUCUUUAUUAUUGUCCAUUUCUAUAGGAGAAGGUAGCACUUGUCUUCUUCUUGAUAUGUCCACUAUCUUAUAUGGUUCAAAAAGAGACAUAUAGAAUAUUGGAUGGAUUUUUAUUGACUCUGAUAGGAGUAAACAAUAUGCAACUGGAUUGAUUUGUACAAAAAUAGGAAAUGGUCAAAGCCUAUGAUAGUCGAGCUUAUCACAUGGACAAGUAGUCUUGCCAUUGCAAUGAAAUAACCAUACCUUAUCACCCAUGUAGAAUGGUGGUUGUUCUUUUUGAUAGACAUACGCAUUGAUCUUUUGUUAUUCUUGAGCUUUUUUUAACUACGCCUUCAUAGUUGCAUAUAGCUCUAUAGAAUAUGUAAAUAAACUUUGUGGUAAGUUACUGGUUGAUUAUUGAUAACCUUGAGAAUUACACUAAUGGUUAGGCAGUUUAGUUGAUAACAGUAGAUUGUUAGUGGAAUAAAUGGUUAAGAAUUCAAAGAGUCAUAACCUUUGGAAUCUGUUGGCCGACGGAUCAUCUUUUGGUAGGAUAAAGAGAUUGAAGAAAGGAAGAUCAGGUGCCAAACUAAUAUAGUCGUAAGCCAGGGCAAGCUUGGUGCUAUCUCUUUUUGUUUCUUUAUUAUUGACGAGUAAUGGAUAGUUUCUGAAUACUGAGAAGUUAGUUUGGAGUGCUUGACUGUAAGAGUCGUAAGCCGAAAUAUUGAAUUCUGUGUGAUGAAUUGAGAGACUAAAUACAAUAGAUAAGCUUGAGAUCAGUAAUUGAAUAUAUAUAAAUGACAAAGACAGUAAAUAGGAGAUGAACGGAUAAGAAUAUGAAAGUAUUAUUGAAUUAAUAGUCAUAGAAUGGAUUAUGGGUUGAAUUAAGAUGGAAGUAGUAAGCCUUGGUGUUUUGUAGUUUGAUAAUUGAUUUCAGAUAGCUAAAGUACAGUCAAUUAAGAUACUAACAGACCCAAUUCAUAUAACCAGUCUUUCCCUGUGUUCGAACCCACCUCUAUUAAUUCAAUUGCUUUAGUAUAUUGAAGCUUGAACACAAUGAAAAUAACAUUUUGGCAUCGCUGCCAAGGAAAUGAUAACAAUAUGAAAUAUUAGAAAUUGAUUGUAUGGAAGAUUGAAUUAUAUGUUGAAUGAGAACAUAAGAAGAAUCAAUUUUAGGGUUACAAAUAUGUGAGUUAUAAUUCAAGGCAGUAUUGAUUUUGUAAAGAAGAAUGAAAGAUUAUGAGUCAUAAUCAUGAAGGGGAGGAUUAUCAAAGAAUUAAUCGACAAGCAAAAGAAAGACAAGAGUGAUUAUGCAUAAGAAAUCUUGUACAAGAACGACAAAAAAGAUUUGUAUAUCUAAGUAAAACCAAAGGAAGAAAAAUUCAAAUUCAAAUAGCAAAGAGACUAGUGAUAAUACUAAUGGCCGCGGAAGUGCCAGAAGUACCAAUUGUAGUACAAAUGGGAGCAGUAAGAGACCGAACUAUAAGUGUGGCACCAUUACCUAUUUUUAGUGGUUGACUGGGCUCUGAUCCCAAUCACCAUAUAUUUCAAUUCUUGACAGCGUACAUGGCUAAUAAUGGUAGAAUUAAAGAUAUUUGGUUGAGAUGGUUGCCAGCAACUUUAAAAGAUACAGCUUUUGAAUGGUAUAUUCUACAACCAAUGGGUAGAUUUCCCAAUUGGGAGGCCUUGAAAAAUGUCUUCCUAAUCCAUUUUAGACCAAUUGGAUUUGAAGAUCAGCUUAGAAAAAGUUUUAUGAAUAGCUAGAUGUUUGUGGAAGAAUCAAUGGAGUCUUAUUAUGGCUGAGUCACAGAUAUACUUUGUAAAUGGAUAAAUAAUCAAAUUCCAAAUGUAUUUAUAUUGUCGAUAUUAAUUAAUGGUUUGCAUCCACCAAAAUUAAAAAUGUUUAUAAAAGAGGCUCGACCAGCUACGGUAGAGGCAUCAUUGGCAUGAGCAAAGGUGUGGGAAGAAUGUCAUUAUGACCAAUUGUUACCUCUAUUAGUUCAAUUGCUUUGGUAUAUUGAAGCUUGAACACAAUGAGAACAACAAGCUCUAACAAAUGAUUUGUCAAAUCUUCCACCACAAGAUUAUUAGCUUUUGAGAAGUCAAAAGUAUCAAGUUGUGGAUAAUAACCAUAAUUGGUAAAAAAUGGUGUUUAUUUUGUAGAAAAAUGUACUAUGUUAUUAUAAACAAACUCUGCCUAUGGCAAAAGAGUUGUUCAAUCAUCUUGUUGGUAGUUGAUGGUAUAUCUUAAAUGUUAUUCCAAAACUUAAUCAACACAUUCCAUUUGUCCAUUAAUUUGAGGGUCGAAUGUUGAAGAUAGUUUUAUAUCCACUUUUAGAAUCUCAAAAAGAAUCCGCCAAAAUCUUGAUAUAAACUGAGUCCUCUAUUUGAUAUGAUAUCAUUGAAUAAUCCAUGAAAGCGAUAGAUAUUGUCAAGAAAGAGUUUAGCUAUUUUUUCACAUGUGAUACAUUUUGUACAUAGUAAAAAAUGUGCCAUCUUCAUAAAAUAAUCUACUAUCAUGAAUAUAGAAUCAUAAAAACUUGAAAUUAGAAGAUUUGUGAGAAAAUCCAUAGAAACAAAAGACUAUAGUUGUUCUGGAAUGGAUAAUGGUUGAAAAAGUCCGUAAGAUUGAUGACGGGGAGUUUUUGUUCUUAAACAAAUGUCGCAUGAUUGAAAAAAGUCUUUCACAUCCUUUCACAUUUGUGGCCACCAAAAACCUCUAGAUAUAAGCUCUAAAGUCUUCUUGUAUCUAAAAUUUCAUACUGUUGGAAAGUCAUGACGUACUUGAAGAAUACGUAAUUGUGCUUCUCUUUUUUAAACAUAUAAUUGACCUUUGAAAUAGAGUAGGUUGUUUUUGAACUCAAAUUUAGAAGUAUCUUAAGACUUAAAAGAAGGAUUUUUGAUAUUAUGAACAAGAGGAUUAGAAGACAUACUUGAUUGGAUUUAUUUCAGAAGGAUGGAAUUAUUAAUCAAUUUUGAUUUCAUUACUCAAAGAUGAAAAUGCUCUAGUUUCAAGAGAAUCAUUUUUUUGAUUAAAAGAUGUAUCUCUUUCUUUUGGUAUAAGAUAAGAACAUCUAAAAAAGAUAUUUGAUAAAUCUUAUUUUUUUUCGAGUCAACAUGUGAUCUUAAAAUCAAAUCUUGAUAAAGACAUGCUCCAAUAGGCUUGGUGGCGAUUCAAAACUCAUACUGAUAUGAAAUACUUGAAAUUCUUAUAGUCUAUAUACAUAGUGACUGGAUUGAAAGUGCAUUCUAAAUGAUGAUGUCAUUCUUGAAAUGAAUCCAUGAUUACAAAAAGCUCUUUGUUAUGGAUUUUGUAGCUAAUCUCGACUGCUGAAAAUUUUUUGGAAUGAAAAGCUAUUGAGUGAAGUAUAUCAUCUAUUUCCAUUUGUAAUAAUACAGCACUCAAAGCAAAGUCUCCUGCAUUUUUUGCCAUAAAAAAUGCCUUGGAAAAAUUGACGCAAUACAAGAUUGGUGCAAAAAUAAAAGUUGACUUCAAAGCUUCAAAACAUGCUUGAGUUUCUUUGCUCCACUUAAGUUUGUCUUUGCAAAUCAAACGUAUAACUGGGGUUGCAUCUCGAGAAAAGUCUUUGAUGAAGUUUCGAUAAUAAUUGGCAAAGCCUAAAAAGUAUUAGACAUUUCUUAUCAUUUUUGGAAUCUUCUAAUCCAUAAUAGUUUGAACUUUCUUAGGAUCUAUAACAAAUCUAUCAUAUGAAAUGAUUUAUCCUAAAAAGUCAACUUGAAUAGUGUAGAAUACAUAUUUUUCUAUCUUGGCAUAGAGUUCUACAUCUCUUAAUUUUUGUAAUACAUGAUAAACAUGAAGUUCAUGUUCAUUGAUGUUCUUAGAAUAGAUUAAGUUGUUGUCCACAUAACAGACAACAAAAUGGUCCAAAAAUUAUCAAAAAAUAUCAUUUAUUAGAUGUUAAAAAGCUGCCAAUGCGUUUGUAAGUCCAAAAGAUAUGACGUUGUAUUCAAACUAUCCAUAUUUAGUUCAAAAUACAAUCUUCCAUUUAUCUCCUUCUUUAGUACAUACAAGAUUGUAUGCUCCCUAUAGGUCUAUUUUUGUAUAGAUCUUAGCUUGAUUCAGUUGAUCAAAAAGUUCUAAUAUUAAAAAUAGAAAGUACCUAUUCUUGAUGGUGAUCUUGUUGAGUCCUCGAUAAUCAAUACACAUCCACAAUGAUCCAUCUUUUUUCUUUACAAAUAAGAUUGGAGCUCCUAAUGGCAAUUUGGAAUAGCGUAUGAAAUUCUUGGCUUGAUUCUCUUUAAUAUAUUCUUUAAGUUCACCCAAUUCAUUUUGUGAUAAACUAUAGAUUGGUCUGAAUGGCAGUUGUGUUUUUUCUUGAUGGUCAAUUGAAUAGUCAUAUGGUCGAUGUUCUAGAAGAGUAUCCACAUUCUUUUUCUCAAAUAUAUCUUAAACUCUUAAUAUUGGCUUGGAAUGCCACGUGAAGUCUUUGUAUCAUUAGAAAUAAGUAUGGUAUAAAUGACACAAGGUGAUCCUUCUUUUGCAGCAUGCAAGAAAGCUCUCGCACCUACAAACACAAGUUUUAUUAUGCUAAACUUAUGACUUUUUACUAGAUUAAUUUUACUCUUAAUUAUACUUUUAGAAAAGUCAAGAGUACGAGAAAUCCAAUCUAUGCAAGAAUUAUACCUUUCUAACCAUGAUAAUAUUAAAAUAACCAGAUUAGAAAGACAUCUAAUUAUAUUAAAGAUUAUGCAACUACUAUGACUAUUUAUUGCUACAUCUAUAGGAAGUUUUUUAUGAAUAAUAUUUUUAAAAGAUAAUAGAUGACCAUCUAUGUUUUCUACAUGAAUAUGUUUAGUUUUUUGUAUUAACGGUAUUUUAUGACUUUUAACAAAUUCUAUGUCUAAGAAACAAGUUAAGGCUCUUGAAUCUAUCAAGGUAGAGGCUUUAUAAUUAUAAGGUCCUAAAUGCACAUCUAUUAUAAAAUAAAGAGAGGGUUUUGGGAAGAGGAUAGGACCUUCAUUAGAUAUUAUACAAGAUUUUAAGCGAUAUGAUCCUUAUUGUAGCUGGACAAAUUUAUUUUCCAACACAUUGUCUUUUUUAAUAACUGUGCUCCUUAUUUUGUGGUUUUGUGGCUUCUUUAAAUAAUAUUGAGUAGUAUGUUUAAGUUCUCCAUAAUAUAAGUACAAUCUUUCUUGAUGGCAAGAAGUCUUUUCUUGCUCGGUAAGAAGUUUAAAAUGUACUGCAUCAAUUUGCAUAUCCUCUACUUUUGAAUGUAUGUGUUGAGGAGAUGUUGGUAUUGUCAUCAAAUUAUAGUAAUGUUGAGGCCUACUUAUGCAACUCUCAGAUCAAAAUUCAAAAAAUUGAUUAUCACACUUUAGGGCAAAGUCAAUUUCUUAACUCAAUGUUUGAGGAUAAGAUAAGUUGAGCAUCCAUUUUUUUACUUCUUAUUAUAAUCUAUAGAAAAAUUGGCUAAUAAGUGCAGCAUCAUCCUACUUAAUAUCAGUUGCAAGUUGUCAAAACUAUGAAGCAUAUAAUAUUAUAGAUCGAUUGUCUUGUCACAAAAUAUGGAUCUUAUUAGUUGCAACAUGAGUUUCAUCAUAUUUUCCAUACAUGGAUCAAAAUUCCACCAAAAAUGCCUCCAGAUUAUCCAAUAUUGGAUCUUAUCAUUCAAGAAAAGAUAAAAACUAUGAUAAAGCUGAACUUAAAAGAAGUGUAUCAAUGAAUCUAACUUUUUGAUCUUAGAAUUAGAUAGCUUUGAGGUUGAAGUUCAAUCACAAGUUGCUCUUGAUUGAUAAAUCUUCAAAAUUUGGAUCUUUUACCAUUAAACUUCACCGGUAGGAUAAUUCUUGGUUCUCUAAGACUUGAAGGAUGUUCUACUAUAGGUAGAGGAAUAUGAUUUGGUAUAGAUGUUGAAACAGCUCUAAUUAUCUUUAUAUUCUAACUUCCUACUAUUCUUGUUGAUCCUUAUAGUAGCAAAUUAGGUUGAUACAUAGCAAGCAUUAACUUCUUCAAUUACUCUUAUAUUUGUGACAUUUUAUUCUUCAUUUCAACAAGCUUUGUCAUAAUAAUACUUAAAAAAAUAUCUAAUAUCAUUCAAGACAAAUAGAAGGAAGGACUUGAGGACAAAUAAAAUAUUAAGAACAAUAUCUAUUUAGAAGAGGGUAAUCCAUAACUUCUAAUAUGCUUAAGUCUUAAUAUGAGAAAGAAAUAAUCUACUCUUAAUCAAGAUAAGACAAGGCUUUGAUAUUGUAAGUACACUCUUGUCAAUCUAUGUAGGACAUGAACUAGAAGAUAAUGCAUAAAUCAAUGAAAUCCAUGUCAAAGAAAAAGUAACAAAAUAUAAAUAAAAAAGUACAUAUAAUAAAAAAAACUGGAAUGGCUUAUUUCCAAAAGACAAGAAAAUUUGAGACUCUUGAAACUAGACUAGAAGCAAGAAAUGAGUUGAUAAGAGUGAAGAAAGCUUUAUUCUUGCCUCUAUAUAUAUUAUCUAACUAGAAGCUACAUGACGAUAUUCUAUAAGACCUCUAAUAUGUGUUGACUUUGUAAGACACAUGUUUUAGCUUAGAAGACAAGUUUUCUAUGUAUAGGCCAUCUAGUUAGCUUGUUCUUCAAGCCACCAACACAUGUGGCACAUGGUUAACUUAUUGACCAAGUUUCUAAUCUAAAAGUCACCAAUAGAUAUCUAUAAAAUCAAAGCAGCAUCUAUGAAGCUUUUAAGAAGCUUCUUUAAAAGAUAUUAUAGAAUUAACUUACUUUUAGCUAUUUCUAUCUACUUCUACCUAUUUAUAUAAGUAAUUAUUGGCUUAUAUGUGUAUGUCCAUGAUACUACACCUAAUUAUUACUGUUUGAGUGGUGGUUUAGUUUGAUUGUUUGGUAUAGCUCUACAUUGUAAUCUUUGGUUUUUAGGCACUAUUAUAAAAAUAUGAAGUACCACAACUCAAAGAAUUGGAUUAUGGUAUUGUAUUAUGUGAUGUCUUUUAUAAGAAUUCAUCGAGCACAUAAUUGUAGAAGGUAGAAUAGAAAUUACAACAACAAAAUUCUAAUUAUAAUAGAAUAUUAAAUAUAUUCUAAUUAAAUCUUAACAAUGCUAAAAUAGCUUUAAUUAAAAUCAAAAGAAACCUUAAAGAAAUUACAAAAGAAAUAAUAAGAAAACUUAAAAGAAUUGAAAGAAAGUUAACAAUAAAUCUUAAAAGAAUCCUUAAGAAAUUCUAAAAAAUAUUAAAAUAAUCACAAAUAUAUCUUAAAUAAAUCUCAACUAAGUUUUAAUUUAAUCCUAUUUUAAUUCUUAAUGGAUUUCAAUCAAAUCCUAUCAAAUCUUAAAUCCUAAAUCAAAUCUUAGAUAAACCUUAAAUUCUAAAUUAAACCUUAGACAAAUUCUAAAUCCUAAACUAAAUCCUAAAUAAAUCCUAAAUUCUAAACCAAAUCCUAAACAAACCCUAAAUUCUAAACCAAAUCCUAGAUAAAUCCUAAACUCUAAAUCAAACUCUAGACAAAUCCUAAAUCUUAAGCAAAAUUCCAUAUAAAUCUUAAAUUCUAAACCAAACCCUAAAAGAAUCCUAAAUCCUAAAUCAAAUCCUAAACAAAUCCUAAAUCUUAAACCAAAUCCUAGAAAAAUCCUAACCUUAAAUCAAAUCCUAAAUCAAACCAAAAAUCCUAAACCUAAUCUUAGAUAAAUUCUAAAUUCUAAAUCAAAUCCUAAAUCAAAUCCUAGAAAAAUCCUAAAUCCUAAAUCAAAUCCUAAACAAAUCCUAAAUCUUAAACCAAAUCCUAGACAAGUCCUAAAUUCUAAAUUAAAUCCUAAAUCGAACCUUGAACCAACUCUAACCAACCCAAUCUAACUCUAAUAUAGUUUAGAAUCUCAAUAUUUAUCAAUUAAACUAUUGAUCUUGCUUAGAAAUUUAUAUACUUUUCAACAACUAAGUUUGCAACAAUCACACAAAAUUUGAAGAUAAUUACUUUUACUAAGUAGAAGCAAAAUCCUAAAAUCUACUUGGAUAUUGAUUAGCCUCUUACUCGAGUUAAAAUUUUAAACUUCUAGGACCAAUAUGUCUUUUUUAAACCAUUCAAUUGUUCUCAAAUUUUACAUAUGAAUAGAAAAUUAAGUAUAAUAUUCUUAUACACAAAUGUUAUUUCAAUCCAACUAAUAGAUUUUUAAAGAGCUUAGAAAUCCUAAUUGCCUUUCAAAGUCCAAUUUUUGAGAUUUCAACCUACUUAAAAUUUAAUAAUUUUUAAUUCAACCAUUUGAUCAAACUCAAAUUUAUAACAUACACUUUGAAAAACUAUUUUUAUAAGUCAUCAAAAUUUGAAAUAUAGAUUUACUACCAAACUUGUAAAAAUCUCUAAAAUAUAAUAUUCUUUUUAUUUCACAAAUUCCAAAGUCACCUAAAACAACUAAUACUUUGCAAAGCUCUUGCAAAGUUAGUAAAUAUUCAAUUCUCUCAAAAUUAAUGCUUAAAAAAACCUUGUCAAGUCUACUCUCAAAUUCUACUUUUUAAUUUGUCAAAGAAUCUUUGAAUUACCAUCUGUGUCCAAUUUUGUGCCUUGGGAUCUGAUUUCAACCUAGGUUGAUAACUAGACCUUUCUAGAUAUCAAUUUUUUUUCUUUUGAAUUAAAUUUUAUUUAAUUCAACUCCUAAUUUCUUCCUACAUAUGCUCAUAUUCUUUAAUUUUUUAAUCUAUCUUAUUUUGCUUUAUUUAUGUACUUACAAAGUAAGUAGAAGCCUAAUUUGUAAAAAAGUAGUAUAUAAAUCUAUAGUUCUACUUUCUUUUGGACUAUUGUCUAUUUUCUAAGAUAAUUUGCUAUAAUAUUUGAAGUAAGAUCUUUUAUAAUAUAAUAGAUUUUUUGCCCCUUUCACUUAUUAGUCAUGUUACAUGACAACAACGAGUUAUUUUUUUUUUUUAUCUUAGUUGUCAUUGAAGAGCAAAGUUGUAGGUGUAGUGAGGGUUCGUGCAAUGUUGUGGUGAUUGUGGAUGAGUUAAAUUAAUGACUAAAGCUAUUGUACAUUGUCAGAAUUGAUAUUAUGAAGGUAGAACAUUGCAAAUCUUUGCUUUUCUUCUUUGUUAUAGUAUAAUAAGUAUAUAUUUAUUUUUUUAUGAUACAUUACAAGAAAUAAAGAUAUAUUCAUAUUGUAUUAGAUUUGCAAUAUUUGAUCUUAGUUGAUAUGGAGUUGGUUAUAUGUACAAAGCUUGACAUGAAGUUAACUUGAUAUUAAAACAACAAUUAGAUAUAAUACAAGAAGAUCUUGACUAGACCAUAAAAAAUGAAUUGUCAAGACUGAGGAUCCCCUCAACCUCGACUCCUAUAUAUACUAGGUCCUAGGAAGCUUCUUGAGAAGUUUCUAUGAGUCUUAAGAACAAAACAAGUCUAUGAUCCUUCUUUAGUAACUUCUUAAAUCAUCUAAAGUCUCUUAGAAUCUUCUAGGACUUCCUAUGACCUUCUAGAACUUUUUAAAAAUCUAUUAGAAGCUUUUGAAACCAUUUGGAAUCUCCUAGAACCUUCAAAGCCUUCUUAAAACCUAUUGGUACCUUCUGAAACCUUCUAGAACCUUUUGAAAUCUUUUAAAACUUUCUAGAACCUUCUUCAGUUGUAUAUUCAUGAAAUCACUUCUUUUUUUUAGCUUCAAGGUCUCCGAGAAGCAAUGUUACAGUAAGCUAGUAUAUGUGCAUGAAGUUGAAGAUUUGUGGCAUGGUGUCCACUAUAUAUUCCAGUUAUUUUUUAUAAGGUAAAUAGUUCAUAGAUCCUUCUAGCUAUCGAUAAUGUCCCAAGCCUUCUACUUGUGACCAAACAUGAACUUUGGUAUCUUCAUUAUAGAACUAUCUUGCAAAUACUCCUUCUGGACAUCCCUCAUAGGCAGGUUCUACCUCAAAUAUAAUUACCAUUUAUCUAUUACUAAGUAUCCUUUGACGUCUUCAUAGUUCAGGUGACUCUUCAUCUUGGGAUUUUUUUUGCGAGCUACUUAGUUGAGAUGGUAUGAUUAACAAGGCAUUUAUCUCUUUACUAUCUAUAUCAUAUAAAGUAAAUACGACUAAAAGAAUAUAAACAAGCCAUGGUCGUGAAUUCAAACUACUGAUUUAUACUAUUAUAAACAUUUGAUAACAACUGCCUCUUCAAAGAUUGCCUCCUCUCCUUCUUUAUGAGGCCAAGAACUAAGAAUCUUCAUUAUAAAGCCAUCUUAUCAAGCUAUUGUUGUUCAUUUUGUCGCUUUUGGUCUAAAUGGAUAUCAUUGAUUGAACCUUUGAACCUUCAUUUGUGCAUUUAUAAGAUUAUAAACUAUUUUCUAUGUAUGAUUGUUGAUAUCAUAUCCACACCAAUAGGUAAGAUAUUCAAGCCUUUUAUGUCUUAUCCUUGAAUCUAAUAUCUCUUCUACCUCAAAUUCAACAUGAUCAUUGAUUUCAACCAUAGGACUUAGUAGUUGUCUUUGACCUGGUAUGUUUGAUUCUUUAUACUUUUCUAAAAAUAAAACAUGAAAGAUUAGAUGAAUCUUCAUGGAUGAAAGUAACUCCAAGCAAUAAGUUAUAUAAUUAAUUUAUUUCUGAAUCACAAAUAGUCCCAACUUUCGAUAGUCUAACUUAUCACAUAGCCUGUUGGUUUUUAUAUUAUACCAAAGAAGCCAUACUUUGUUACCAACUUGAAAUAGAAGAUGUUCCUUCUUUAAUUCAUCUACCAGUAGCUUGUAAUGUCAUUGAGCCCUUUCUAGGUGAAUCUUUAUGCUUGCUUGAAGUUCGGCCAUCUUUGUAAUAAACUCCUUUGCUAUUAGAUUUGUUGACUUUCAAGACUCUAUCAUAUCCAACUUUUGAUAAUGACCAUAGUUUGAGUAGAAUGGUGUUUGUUGCAUAGAUACAUAUAUUGUAUUGUUACAUGCAUACUCCACCAAUAACAAGUAGGAAGUCUAAUUGUCUUGUUGAUAGUUGAUGGUGCACCUCAAAUACUCCUCAAGAAUUUGGUUGACCUGCUCUAUUUGGCUAUCAGUUUGAGGAUGGAAUGAAAUAAAAAGGUUGAUAUCAAUCUUAAGAAUCUUUAAGAGUGCCUUCCAAAACCUUGAUACAAAUUGUAGCCCACAAUCCAACACAAUAUUGUCUAGCAAUCCAUGGUAACCAUAGACAUUAUCAAUAAAGAGUCUUGUCAUAUUUUCACCAGUAAUUGAUUUCUUACAAGGUAUAAAAUAUACCAUCUUGGUCACUUGAUAAGCAACUAUGAAGAUUGCAUCAAAUGAGUUUGAUGGUGGGAGAUUUGUAAUGAAAUCCAUAGAGAUAGAUGACCAUGAUUGUCUUGAAAUAGGAAGGGGUUGAAGAAGUCUAUAUGGCCAAUGUUGAAGGUUCUAUAACCUUCAACAAGUAUCACAUGAUAGUACAAAUUCCUUAACGUCUUUUCACAUUUCAGGCCACCAAAAGUCUCUAGACAGAAGUUCUAAGGUCUUAUUGAAUCCAAAAUGUUUGGCUACAUGGAAGUCAUGGCAUAUUUGAAGAAUGUGCAAGCGAGUUGGUCUUUCUAGAAUGAAUAAACAUUCUUCAAAGAACAAAAAUUUAUCUUCAUAUUUGACUUUAGAAGACUCUUCAAGAUGGUUGUUGACAAGAUGCUUGAUAUUAAGAACAAGACUAUCCAUGUUUGAGGCUUUACAAAUCUGAUCAAGAAAUGAUAAAUCCACAAGCAUUAAUACAUUAAUUGCUUGAAGAUGAAAUUGCUCAGGUUUUAACAAGGUUGUUUGUUUAUGAUCAUAUGCUGCUUCAUAUUCUUUUGGUUUAAGGUUGGAACAUCUUGAUAAUGCAUCUAAUAAUCUUUUUUGGCUCUCAGAUUGAUAUGUGAUGCAAAAGUCAAAUUGUGAUAAAGAUAUAUUCCAACAUGCUUAACAAGGAUUCAAGAAUCAGACUGACAUGAAAUAUUCAAGAUUCUUGUGAUCUGUAUAUACAGUCACUUGAUGAGAGGUACCUUCAAGAAAAUAACACCAUUCUUAAAAAGAAAUCUAUAAUAGCAAAUAUCUCUUUAUUAUAGAUUUUGUAGUUAAUUUUUGUUGUUGAGAAUUUUUUAGAAUGAAAUGCAAUUGGAUGAAGUUUGCUAUCUUCUCCAUGUUGUGACAAAAUUACUCCCAAUGCAAAGUUUGAGGCAUUAGUCUCCAUAAAAUAGGGCUUGUUAAAAUUUAGAUGUAUCAAAAUUGGAGCUAUUGUGAAAGCAUCUUUUAAGCUUUGAAAAGCUUUCUCUACUUCAAGGCCCCAAUCUAGUUUAUUCUUAUAUAUUAACCAUGUAAGUAGAGCAGCAAACUUGGAAUAAUUUUUAACAAAAAUCCUAUAGAAGUUUACAAAUCCAAAAAAAUAUUAGAUAUCAAAAAUAGUUUUUGGCUUUAUUUAAUCAAUGAUUGCUUGUAUCUUCUUUGGAUCCAUAAAAAGGCCUUUGUUGGAAAUAAUAUAUCCAACAAAUUUGACUUGAGGUACAUAAAAUACACACUUCUCCAGUUUUGCAUAUAGCCUAGCAGUUCAUAGUUUUUCUAGUCAAAGAUGGACAUAUUUUUUGUGGUCUUCCGGAUUCUUAAAAACAAUCAAAAUAUCAUCUAAAUAGAUUACAAAAAAUUCAUCAAGAUAUUCACAAAAUAUGUCAUUCAUUAAGUAUUGGAAUAUGGUUGGUGCAUUGGUAAGUCUAAAAGGCAUAACAUUGUAUUCAAAAUGUCCAUACUUGGUGGGAAAUGCUAUCUUCCAUUCAUCUCCCUCCUUCAUGUAUACCAAGUUAUACGUGCCUCAUAGAUCAAUCUUUGUAAAGAUCUUUGUUUGGCUAAGUUGAUCAAGAAGUCAAGAUAUCAAUUGCAAUGGAUAUCAAUUCUUUAUUGUGAUUUUAUUAAGACCGUGAUAAUCGACACACAUUCGUAAGGAUCCAUCUUUCUCCUUCAUAAAUAAUAUCGGAGCACCAACUGGUGAUUUGGAAUGUCGAAUAAAAUUCUUAGCAAUAUUUUUUCAAUGUACUCUUUUAAAGUCGCAAGCUCAUUCUGGGAUAAAUUGUAGAUUUAUCUCAGAAUAAAUUAUAAAUUGGAUUCAAAUGGUAGUUGAGCACCUUCUUGAAGAUCAAUUACAUAAUUAUAAGGACAAUGCUUUAGCAAGAUAUGUGUAUUUUUCUUUUCAAAUACAUCUACAAAAUCCUUAUAUGCCUCUAGAGUUGUUGUAGCAACCACGUAUUUCGAUUGUGGAUUUGCAUAGAUAGCAAACAUAGUACCUUGUUUGGCUACCCUUACAAAUUUUCUAGCUCUAAUAAAUAAAUAUUAUUUAAAUUUUGGCUUCUUGGAUAUUAGAAAUAAGUUUUAUUGAUGUAGGAUACUAUCAUCUAUUAGAAGAAAUUCUAACUUUUGUAAUCCCUAAUCUAUCUAUGGAUUGUAUUUUUUAAGCCUUGAAAGUUUUAAAAUGACUAGAUUUGAUGAUGAUCUAAUUAUGUUGAAUACUAUUUGGCUACUAUGGUUGUCAAAGGUUAUUUCUAAUGGAAUUUUUUCAUGAGUGACAUCUCUAGAGAAUAAAGGUCGACCAUCUAUUACUUCUAUAUGUAGAGCUUUGGAUUUUUUGACCAUACAAAUUUUAUGUGAUUUAGAAAAUUCUUCAUUAAUAAAACAUGCAGAGACUCCUGAGUCAAGUAAUGCAUGACAAUCUAGUUUUGUGACUCCUAACUAUAUAGAUAUAAUAAAACAACAAGAAAGGCUAGCAUAUAAUACAUGACCUUUUUUGAUUUGUGAUAGUGAAGAAUCCAACCACAUAAUCUCUACUGUAGCUAGAUGCCCUCGUUUUCUUGCAACUUUUUUGAUGAUGUGGCUAUAUUCUUCAUUCAAUAUAUACAUUAGCAUUUUUCUAAGCAAUUAUUAACCUUAUGGCCAGGUUUUCCACAAUAUAAACAUAAACCAAGUUUCUUUUAAUACUUUUUUUUCUUGCUCAGAAAGAAGUUUGAAGCAAACUGCAUCAAUUUACAUAUCUUUUACAUCCAAUUGCUUAUUAGAAUUGUGUAGUGAAGAAGCUGCAGAAUAAUUGGUAUAUACAUGUGGCAUAAUUGGAGAAAGUUUAUCUUAUCAUCAUUGAAAUAAAUGGUUAUCAUUCUUCACAACUUGACUAAUGGCUUCAUUGAGUAUUAUAAGAUUUGACAUAGACAACAAUAAGUCCUUGACAUGGUUUCUUCAUCCUCAAUGAAAUUGGCUCAUCUAUGCAUUUUCUCUCCAAUUUAUAUCUUAUGCUAAUUGUCAAAAAUCUGAAGCAUACAUUGAUGUAGAGCACAUUAUCAAAUUAUGACACCAUUAUAUGAUAAAAAUAUGACUAAAAAUAUUUUUUUAAUUAAUAUUUUAUUAUAAAAGUUUAACAAGAUUUUAAUAUAUUUUAAUAAGACUUUUAUAAAAGUCUCUUAGCUUAUUUUCUUAUCUUUUAUAUUCAGGUUAUGAUCAAUUUCAACUUGCACAUAAAAGUAGAGAUUUAAUAACAAUGAAAACACCACUUAGACUACUUAAAAUGUGUACUCUUCUAUGAGGUGCUACUAACUCAGUUGUACAUAUGAUGAAUGGUAUGAACAAGGUAUUGAAGGACUUUAUUUAUGAAAAAAUUGUAUCUUUUUUAGAUAAUGUUCAUAUCAAAGAAUGUAAAGAAGAAGAAAAUAAUGAGACCUUAGAUAAAAGAAGGUGUUGUAAGUAUGUUAUUGAUCAUAUAUAAGAUUGUAAAAAGGUUUUAAGUCGACUUGAAGAAGUUUAUCUUAAACUUUUAGGAACAAAAUCUAUAUUUGGAGUACAAGAGGUUAUCAUUGUUGGGCACACAUGUAGAUUUUAUGGGAGAAAAUUAGAUUCAAGUAAAAUUGAUGCAAUUGGAACGAUGAAGGAUAUAUGUGAUUCUUUAACAGAAAUAUACGAGUUUUUAGGAGCUUAUAUAUUUUAUAAUAUUUGGAUUUUUAAUUAUGUUUAUAUAAUAGAUCUAUUUUAUGAAUUAUUAUGUAAAAUUUUUCAAUUUAAAUGGAAAAGAAAACAUAUUGAAGUAAUACAAAAGCUAAAGGUGUUAUUAUUAAUAUCUCCAAUAUUAAGAAGAAUUAAUUAUAAAAGUAAUAGGCAAGUAAUACUUUCUAUGGAUACAAGUCCCAUUACUAUUGAGUGGGUUAAGGAUCAAGAUGAUUGAAGUGGAAAUAGAUUUUCAAUUCAAUUAAGAACUAAAGUUUUAAGUACUCGUCAACGUGCAUAUUCGUAGGUUAAGAGAGAACUAUGGAGAGUUAUUUUAGCUAUGAAAGCUGAAAGGAUUAUUUGAUUGGUGCUGUGGUAGUAAUUGAAAAAGAUUUUUUGCCAUUACUUAGAAUAGUUACUAAUUAUUCAAUACUGGAUAUUGCAAUACUAAGAUGGAUUACUUAUAUUAAGUAAUUAAAUCUAGAAUUUAAGCAUGUUGCUAAAAAAGAUAAUUUGGUGGUGGACAUGUUAUCUCAAGCAAGUUGUGAAAGAAAAGACAAGAUGAUUGAAGAUAUUGAUGAUGUUGGAAUAAAAUUCUAUUUAGUAUCAAAUCUUAAUGAAGAAGAUAAGAUGUUUUUUGAAGAAUUUUAUGAAGGAGAUUUACUAGAAAUUAGUCUUUAUUUGAAUAUCUUAACUAAACAAGAAAAUUAGUCAAUAAAAAAAAUUAAUCAAAUAAGAAAAAAAGCUUAUGGAUUUUUGCAUCAAGAAGGGUUCUUAUGGAAGAGACUAAAGAAAGGAAUUGGAAUGCCAAGACAAGUAGUAGAUACCAAAGAAGAUCAACAAAGACUACUUAAAGAGUUUCAUAAUAGUCUAUGGACGAGACAUAGAAGAAUUUGGGCUACUUUUGCUAAAUUGAAUGAACGAUAUUGGUAGAAGAAUAUGUAUUGAGAUGUAACUUCAUUUAUAGAAUCUUGUAUAACUUGUCAGAUUUAUUCAAAUAUAUAACAUUAAGAUGGAUUACAUCCAAUAUAUCCUUUGACUAUUCAUUUUAAAUGGAUUGUGGAUUUGGUUAUUAUAUUGAUAGAACUAUAACAAAUGAAAUAUUUAGUUUUGGCUUGUGAAGAUUUAUCAAACCAAGUAGAAGGUAAAGCAUUAAAAAUAAAGUCUACAGAGGAAAUUUGUAGGUUUUUACUUGAAGAUGUUAUUUGUUGCUACGGAUGUAUGGGAAAGAUUAUUUUAGAUUGUAGAGAAUUGGAUGUACAUGAAGCUCGUGAAUUUUUUAAGAGAUGUACAAUUAAAUUAUUAUUGACUACUACUUAUAAUCCAAAAGAGAAUGCAAAGAGUGAACAUGGACAUCCAUUGAUUGCAAAAGCCUUAGUUAAAGCUUGCAAUAGAAGAAUGAAAGAAUGGCCUUGACUUCUAUCUUAUGUAUUAUAGACUGAUGAAAUAAUACAUAGUUCAAUGAUAGGAUAUAUACCAUUAGAACUUAUAACAAGUUAAAAAUCAAUUAUGCCAAUUGAAGAACAUGUGCCAACUUGGAGUGUGCUACCAUAGGAAGAUAUGUUGAUAAAAGAAGAAUUGUUAACUAUUAGAAUUUGGCAACUUGAACAAAGAUUAGAAGAUGUCAAACUAGCAUUAGAAAGGUUAUAAAAGGGAAGGUUAGGAAAUAAGACUCGAUUUGAUAAGCAACAUCGGUUGAGGCCUAGAGCAAUUGAAGAAGGUGAUUAAGUACUUAUUUAUGGCAAUAGUCAAGAUAACAAACAUAGUGCUUUGCGGAAGUUUUCAAAAUGUUGGUUUGGAGCAUAUGUGGUAGUAAUGGUUCAUGACAAUGCCACAUAUUCAUUAAAGGAAUUAGAUGGUAUGAGAUUGAAGGUACCUAUUAUUGAGAAGUGAGUGAAGAUUUUUAAAAGAUGAGAUAGAACAUCAAUAUGGAGGAUCAUGCUAAAGAUAUUAAUAUUAUUGAAGAAGAUAAUUGUUUUGAAGAAAAUGGUGAAAAUAAAAAUAAAGAUUUUGAUGAAAAAAACAAAGAAAUAGUGAGACACCAAUUAUGGCUUAUGGUUCAUUUGGCACAUGCCAGAGGAUGCACAUAUUAAGAGGAGGUGGAUGUCGUAUUGUGACACAAUUAUAUGAUAAAAACAUAAACAAAAAUGAUUUUUUGAUUAUUAUUCUAUUAUAUAAGUUUAAUAAGAUUUUAACAUAUUUUAAUAAGACUUUUAUAAAAUUCUUUUAGCCUAUUUUUUUAUCUUAAUAGCAAAUAGAUAAAAUUUAAUUAGUAUUUUUACCUUCUAGAAUAUAAAAACUCUUUUAUUGCCUUAGAAAGGCCAUACAUUGAUAAAAUCAAAUUAAAAAAAUUAAAUAAUUAAUAUAGUUGAUACUAGGAUUAAGUUGAAGAUAGGAUUGGACUAAAAAAUCCUUAAGAUAGAUUAAAUUGAUAUUUACGGAUCAAUCAUUUGUGCAACAGGGUUGAAAUCAGACUUCUGGCUACUAAAAUGACUACUUAGGAUAAAACAAGGUUUUAUUCAAAGAUCAAAGAUUAGAGUUUGAGAGCUAGAUUAGAGCUUAUUUGAAAGACAUAAGGUUGGUUUUGAUAGGAUUUGGAGAGGGUUAGUAAUUGUUAUUGGAAGCCAAGGUUUAUAUUCACAACUUCAGAUUUAUGCAAUGAAAUUAAGGCUAGUACUCUCGACUAGUUCAUAAAAUUGGUAUUACAACUAUAGUUCAAAUUUUGACAAUACUUGGAUAAUUAGGUAUUCUAAGUGUAUGUAAAAUUUUGUGGUAAUUCAACAGUGAAAUUGAGAGAUAUUUGGGUUUUGGUACAAGUACAUAUUAAAAGUUUGUAGUUUGGGAUUAGAUAGGAUUUCUAUGAUAUCUGGAGAUCUACUAGUCAAAUCAAGGUGAAAUUUUGCAUGGUGUUGGAAGACUUAAAGAUCAAGUUACAAACUAAUUCUGAGUCAAAGUUAACAGUUGGAGAAGGAAAAAUCAUUGCUAGAAUUUUUACUUCACCUUCUGAGUUGGCAGCCAAGUGACAUCAGUGCAAUUUUUGGAGGUUUCUUUAUAAUUUGUAAGUUGGAUUGGUAUAAGUGUAAAAUUCACCUCUCUAUCCAAAUUACAAGAUGGCCUCAAUUAAGAGUUUCUUUUAAUGGAUAGUAUAAUGUGGAAGAUGCAAUGAAUAAGAACAAAAGAAGAAACAAUAGAAACAAGUGAAAGGAAUGUAUACAAGCAAAUACAUACUCCAAAACUCAGUUAGAGUCUAUUCACGGAGUUUUCAUCUAGUAAAAAAUAAAAAAAUAAAAGUAAAAAUUAUAUUUUUAGAAAUUUAAUUUUUUAAGCUUUUCAAUGAUGUAAGAAACAUGUAAAUCCGAGUUACUAUAAAUAAGUUAUGAAGGUUUUAAAAUAAUAAGUAAAAAAAUAAAAGUUAAGUGAAAAUGUUUUAUCUCAAUAAUAACUUGCUUAUAGGUCAAGGAUUCGAGCAUCACCAAGGCUCAUAUGUAGUGUAUAUUGGGUGUCUAAAGAGGCCUUGAGGCCUUAGUCUUAUCUUCCUACCUAUACCCAAGGUGCUACAACCUAUAUGGGACUUACACACCUUCCUUCCUACAAGGACUAUACUUGCUGCUGGUCCUCCUAUUUUCUACUAGUAAAACUCAUUUUUUUUGUAUUUUUAACUUCACCAUGGAGUUUCAAAACAUCUAAUUAGCUUAGCAACCUGAUUUGGCCUUCAAAUCUUACUUCCUUUCUUCAUAAUGGCUUCCAAAGUGGUAAAACUCAUUUUUACUAAUCUCUUAAAUAUUACUCUAAAAAUUCCUAAAAAAUUAUAAAUAAAUUCUAUAAAAUUUUUGAAAAUCUUAUAAUAUUUAAAUAAUACUAAUAUCCAUGUAAGGCUAUAUUUUCCUACCUUCUUGAUUUUUGAUAAUAAUAAACAUCAAUUUAAAUUCACUAUAAAUCCUAUUUUUUAUAUCAAUAACUAAAAUGACAUGAGGUUCUUUUUCAUGCUUUUUCAAAGUACUAAUAUUUAUAGUUUUUAUAAAUAUUACAUAUAUUUAGAAGACCAAUAUAAAUUUUGAUCUUAAUAAAUAAUCCUCAAUACUCAAAAAUAAAUAAAAAUAUUAAAUCAACGAAGAUAAUUGCGUCCAAGACUUACUAAGACUCCAUCUCGACCACUAACAUUCUAAUUUUCUAUUUAUCAAAGGAUUUCUACACUACUACCUAUAUAUUAUGAUUUAAAGCAUUCUAAAUACAUAUUUUUAUCCUAAAACAACAAGUGAGUCAAUUUGAUCACUCACAAUUGCACUAAAAAUUCUUGAGAAUAUGGAAGACUUAUAUUGACAAUUACAAGUAAAAUUUCACAUCAAGUGGAUAGUCAAAUUAAAAGUUACAGCUUAUCAAAGCUCACUGAUUAGGAUUGAAGCUUACAAGGAAAAUCUAAAUUGCUUAAGUAUAAAAGUAAUAAGGUAAUUGAGGUUUACGUGUGAAUAAGGCUACUAAGAAGAGUGUUUUUUAAGACUUUUGAAUUGGUAUUUGGAUUAUAUUCUUGUCAUAUAGAUGAAACCUAUUAGGAUUUCUUCGAUGUUUGUAAAACACAACCUCACCUUCUACAACUAAAUGUCUAGUCCAUUCCCAAGUAAAAUAAUAUGUAAUACGAUUGCAUUCCUUGUCAAAGACUUCAAAUUUUAGUUGCUGAAGAAUGAACCUUAUUAUUUUCACCAAAUUCUUCUACAAAUGCUAUUAAAAAUGCUUCAAAAUUGUGUAAUAUAUGAGAAUUUUUUUCAAAUAAUAGGACAAACUAGGAUAAAAUUUGACUUAAGAACAAGGUCCCAACCAAACCAACACAAGAUGCUUUAGUCAAAUCUUGUUAAAGUUGAAGCAAGGUGAUUUGUCGUACUUGGUUUACAAAGCCAUAAAAUUUUGAGUGAGUGCUAUUGAACUUUUUUGGAAGGCUAAUCUUUGGUUCUUUUAUUGUUAUUGUUGUCAAAUCAUUGCUUUAAGUAGAUGCACUUCCCAUGUUUGAAGUUAACAUAGUCGUUUGAGAAUUUAUAAUCUGUGUUGCAAUUUGAUGUGGUGAUUUAGGCACUCUGGCUCUUUGACCAUCAUAUAUGGUCAUAUAUAAUUUUUCAUUCUGCUUUGACAAAGUCUCUGUCCCAAUCUUCAAUGUUUUAAGAGUAUUAAAAAUAAAAUCUAAUUUGAUCACUUUUGAGUCUAUCAUAUUGACUUUUUUACCUUGUGCCGUAAAAAAUGAGACAAAUACAUACCUUCAAAAGAAAAAAACGUGAUCUAUGAUAUAAAAAUAAAUAAAAAUAAAUAAAAAACAAAACAAAAUAAAAGAAUAUUAAGAAAAGAAUAAUAUUAGUCUAGACGAGGGUGAUAUGCAACCUCUAAAAUACUAUAGUACUUCCAAGAAGAAGGAUUAUCUAUUCUCUGUCAAGAAGGACUAAGCUCCUAAUAUUGUUUUAUAGUAGUCUUAAAAAACUGUUAAGGACCAUAUACAAGACAAGGAUUCAAGAGCAAGAAAUAGAAUUAGCUUAACACUAGAACAAUAACUAGAUACAUGAUAAGAAGGUCCUCGCUAGAUCACAAGAAGUGAAUUGUCGAGACUGAGGAUCCCCUCAGCCUCGACUUCUAUAUAUAUUAGAUCUUAGAAAGCUUCUUGAGAAGUUUCUAUGAUGCUUAAGAAUAAAGCAAGCCUAAGAUCCUUCUUAACCAACUUCCAAAAUCAUCUAAAGCCUCCUAGAAUCUUCUAAAACCUCCUAUGACCUUCUAGAACUUUCUUAGAAUCUAUUGGAACCUUUCAAAAUCUUUUGGAACCUCCUAGAACCUUCAAGAGCCAUCUUAAAAUCUAUUGGUACUUUUUAGAAUCUUCUAGAACCUUCUUCAAUUGUAUGUCUAUGGCACAAUUUGAGAUUGAAUAGAGUUUCUAUGAUAUCUAAAGAUCUAUUUGGUACAAUUUUAGAAAACUUGAAGAUUAAGCUAUGUACCAAUUUUGAGCUGAAGUUAAUAAUUGGAGAUGAAAUAAUUGCUACUAAAAAAUUUGUAUCAACUUUUAAGUUGGUAGUCAAGUAACAUCAGUAAAAUUUUUAGAUAUUUUUUACUAUUUAGUUUCUUUGAUACUUAUAAAAUAUGACUUCACCUUCCAAAGCCAAGUGCUUGGUAUUGUAAUAUAUAUUGUUUUAUUUGAAAAUAUAAUAGGUACUUGACUAUAGAAGGUGAAGUUGUAUUUUGUAAAUAUCCAAAAAAUCAUAAUAAGUUUUAUUCAUAUAAGAAGAAUGCGAUUCAUAUUUUAAUUCAAAAGUGCUUAAAUCCAAUAUAAAUCACUCAAAAACUGUUUUUAGUAAUCUCAACUAUACAUAAAUUCCAAUUGCCUUAUUAAUUUCAUAAUUAGGUAAUUUUAAUUUCUCCUUGCAACCUUAAUUCUAAUUAGUGAGCUUAUUAGUUGUAACUCUUAAUCUAAUAGUCUACUUAGUAUAAAAAAUUUCAUAAAAGUACUACUAUAAGCUUUUUAUGUAUUCAAAUACAAAACAAUCUAAUCCAACUUAUAAAUUAUGAAAAAAAUUCCAAAAACCACACUAGUAUUAUAUAGGUUCCAAUUUCAAAAUUGAUAUAAAUAUUUCAGUAGUAAUUUUUCCUUUUCCAAUAAUUAACUCUAACUCAAAAUUGGUGUGUAGCUUGAUAUUAAAGUCUUCUUAUACCAUGCCAAAUUUCACUUUAAUAUAACUAUAUAGAUCUUUGGAUAUUAUAGAAAUUCUACCCAACUCCAAAUUGCUAACUUUUGAUGCCCUGUUGUACCAAAACCUAGAUACCUCCCAAUUACACCAUUAGAUUUAAAUAAAAUUUUAUACACACUUAGUACAUUCAAUCAAUCAAGUACUAUCAAAUUUUGAAAUAUAGAUGUAAUACCAAUUACAUAAACUAGCUAAGUGUGCUAGCCCUAAUUGUAUUAUAUGAAUUCCAAAUCACUAAUACAAACCCUAAUUUUGAAUAAUAAUUACAAAUUUAUUCCAAUCUUUAAAAAAAAUAAUAAAAAAAAACAAAAAAACCUUACAUUUUGAAAUUAGCUUAAAGCUAGCUAUCAAAUCCUAGUUGCUGUUCUUUGAAUGCCUUCUUAUUUUGCCCUAGAUAGUCAUUUUAGUGGCUAAAGGUCUGAUUUUGUCCCUAUUCUAUAAACAAUCGACCCUUGGAUAUCAAUCUAAUCCAUCUUAGGAAUUUUUAGCCCAAUCCUAUCCUCAACUUAAUCCUAAUAUCAACUAUGCUAUUUACUUAUCUCUUUUAAAUUGAUUUUAUCAAUUUAUGGUCUUUUUAAGAAAAUAAAAGAAUUUCUACAGCCUCGAAGAUAAUAUUACUAAUCAAUUUUAAAUCUACUAUCUAUCAAGAUAAGAAAAUAAACUAAAAGACUUUUAUAAAAGCCAUAUUUAAAUAUCCUAAAUUAUUAUUAAAUUAAUUUAAUUAGAUAUUAAUUAGAAAUUUAUUUUUGAAUAUAUUUUCACUAUAUAAUUGUGUUACAAUAUAAUUAGUGUAUUUUCAUGUGACACAAUUUAUAAUAUGAUAACAUGUCCAACUUAUUGACCAAGUUAUGAACUUAUCAAUCAACUACAAAUAUGUCUAAUAUCAAAUGUGUAUCUAUUAAGCUUCUCCACAAGAUAUUAUCAAAUCUAUCUUUGAUUAUCUUCUAUCUAAUACUUCUUAUUUGCAUGAUUUUGUCUAUAAUAAUUUGAAAGCACUCUUAAAGAUAUUUUAAUUACUUUAUUUGAAUGAAGUUACAAAGCCCUUGCCAAUGUUCAAAUAUUAAGGUGGUCUUCUUAUUCUAGUAUAAGACACUAUUGACGAUUGAGAGGACCUAUUUACUACCUUUCAAGAAAAAAAGAUCAGAAUAUGCAACAAAUAUAAUUUGUUGCAUCUUAAAUCUCUUCAAUAUCUAAUUAUUAUUUUUUAUGGAACUUUUCUCUAAAAGAAGAAGUGAUAUUAUGAUCAUAUAUAAUUAUUUAGAUAAAAAGUGUUAGAAAAUAAAUGAAGAUAGAUUUGAUAGUAUCUUGUAGCUUUGAAUUUAAAUGUGUUUAUUAUUGAUUGAUAAGUUAGUAAUUUUUCCAACAAAUCAGACACAUGUUGCACAUAUUGGCAACUUGUGAUAUAAAUUAGCCAUGUAGCAAACAUGGACGAAACUUGUCUUGUAAAUUAGUCUUGUAUCUAACAAAUUAGACUUAUGUUGGAGUUUCUAUAAAACGUUGUCAGGUCAUAUUUAUAUAUAAUAUAUAAAAAUUAGAUAAGAAAUAUAAAAUAUACUAAUUCUUAAUUUUUAAUUAAUUAAUUAUUAUGAAUUUUUAUAAAAAAAUAUUUAAAAUAUUAUCUUAUUCGCAAGAAAUGUUGUAGUUAUUAGAAAUAAAAACUAAAUUUAUAUAAAGGAAAAAUAAGCUCUAGGAUAAUUAUUAAAGUAUCUAUUUCAUAUAAAAUUUAAUAGAUAUAUUUUUAAUAGGUCUAUAAAUAGAUAUAUAAAUUUUUAUAAAAAAAUAAGUUAUAAUUUGUGAAAAAUAGAGAUUUAAAAAAGAAAAAGAAGUCAAGCAGGAAGCUUAUAAAAAAAAGAAUUGAGGCUUUGGACAUCAAGUGGCAGCUUAGAGCUUAUAGUGGUAGAUGAAUGAUAAGGUGCUUGGAUGGUAUCUAGGAGGUUCUAAAUUUGAAAUCCUAUGGUGGCACAUGAGAGAGAUAGAAAAGAAACAUUUUCUAAAUAUCUUCAAUUAAUUUAUUGAGGAUAUUUAGAAGGUUGGCUUUGCAAUACUUGCAUUAAGAGAUUAUAUUAGGUGAUAAGAGCAUUUGUCACCUAUAAGCGGUGUCGUAUUACGUGCUUUCUUGCUCGAGAAUGCGUCGGGCGUGUGGCUGUAGAAGGUAGUAUGGAGAUUCGCCAAUAGUCAAGCAGUCUAUCAGUUUUUGACUGCUGGAAUAUAAACGACUGCAAGAAUACACUGUAAAUCUAUACGGAUGCCCUUCGACUGCUUGUCAAAGUCCUUUUUGCCCCAGCCGGUAGGUCUCUAGACGUUACAGAGAACCCCGAACAAUCCAAUCUGCUAAUCUCCGAUACCGCUUUGUACUUACGAUCUUGUAUCCACUGACUGUCUUGUUAGAUUAAUCCAAUAAAUUUCAUUCACUUCGCAUACUCAAUCCUAUAGACACCCUUUUAAUUCUUCAAUCACAGACGUAACUCGAUUUCACAAAACAGUCAAGAGUAAUCAAACCCACUUCAUUAAAAAAUCCCGAUUCACCAUUACAACACUGACUUCAGCAACGAUUGCCUCAGUCUUCCCAAAACUCUAUGAAGAAGAAAAAUCCAAUUCUCCGUCUUUUCUUCCCCAACCCAAAGCAUGAAGCUCCUCUCCAAUCCCCUUGAUCUUCAAAAACCUCCAAUGAAACCGAACUAGUAACCUUGAAAAAAAAAAACUUGAAGCUAGCUCUUCGAUCCAAAAAAACGCCUUUGAUCUCAUUCUUUCCCUAACCUUAUCCUCUGAAUUUCUUCAAUCUUCCGUCUUGGAUCCAGAAUUGGCUCCCAUCGUCAGAGCUUAGAUCCAAAAUUGGCUCCCAUCCUCAGAGCUUCCUCCUCCAUUUUUACCUUUAAAAGAUCCAUUUACCGAAAACAACGUUCCUUGAAACGGCACAGAGAAUAGGACAGCCUGAAACAGAAUCGAAAUCCCAUACUCGGGUCCACAUUGAGUCGCCCAACCAAUUUAGGUCUCAUAUUGAGUAAGAUGCCCGUAGUAACCUGGAUGUUCCCGUAAUUAGACUACAUUGGGUUGCCCGACCAAUGCAUGUCUCAUAUUGGGUAAGAGGACCCGGAUUGGAUUCUUGAAAUUGGAUCCAAUUAGCUCUUCAUGUCAAACUGGCUGAGGCCCGUAGUAAGACCUGGAUUUUCCCGUAAUUAGACUGCAUUGGGUUGCCCGACCAAUGCAUGUCUCAUAUUGGAUAAGAGGACCCGGAUUGGAUUCUUGAAAUUGGAUCCAAUUGGCUCUUCACGUCAGACUGGCUAAGGCCCGUAGUAAGACCUGGAUUUUCCCGUAAUUAGACUGCAUUGGGUUGCCCGACCAAUGCAUAUCUCAUAUUGAGUAAGAGGACCCGGAUUGGAUUCUUGAAAUUGAAUCCAAUUGGCUCUUCGCGUCAGACUGGCUGAGGCCCGUAGUAAGACCUGGAUUUUCCCGUAAUUAGACUGCAUUGGGUUGCCCGACCAAUGCAUAUCUCAUAUUGAGUAAGAGGACCCGGAUUGGAUUCUUGAAAUUGGAUCCAAUUGGCUCUUCGCGUCAGACUGGCUGAGGCCCGUAGUAAGACCUGGAUUUUCUCGUAAUUAGACUGCAUUGGGUUGCCCGACCAAUGCAAGUCUCAUAUUGGGUAAGAGGACCCGGAUUGGAUUCUUGAAAUUAGAUCCAAUUGGCUCUUUGAACCAGGCUCACCCGUCGUGUGAAUUGGUCCUUUCUCUUCCUGCUGACUCCCGUUAUUGGAAUCAAAUGGAGCAUUUCAAUAUCCCUCGGCUGACUGUAACGGGGUGACUGAACCUAGCCACUCAGUAUUUGCACUGGAGUUGGUCGUUGCUCCCAAUAUUCGAGGUAACUGAACAUUAAUAAAAGUCCUCUUUCUUUAUAUUUUUACGGUAUACUCGUAUUACAACACGACAGCGGGAGCAAGGAAUCUCCCUUAAUAGUAGCAUGAUGUUUGAUGCCUACGCCUUCUAUAUAUCUAUCUCCCUGAUAAAUUGGUAUAUAGUUUCCUUUAUAAAAGAAGAAGCCUUAAGUUAGUGGUGGCUUAAAUUGAUAUGGCAUCAAUCUUCUAGAAUCCUCUAUAUAAUUAUUUUUUUUAAAAAAUAAAAUAAAAAUUUAAAUAAAAAUAAAAAUAAAAUUUAGGAUUUAGGAUUUUAAAAAAGGGUUUAGGAUUUAAUAUUUGGAAGUAGGAUUCAAGAUUUAGGAUUUGAAAGUAGAGUUUAAGAUUUAAGAUUUGGAGUAGAAUUUAGGAUUUAGAAAGGAUGGCAAUCUUCUUAGAAAGGAAAUAUAAAGAUUCUCCAUAGAGGUUUUAUUUUCUUAUAUUUUUAUUUUAUAAAUAUUUAUUAAAGGAAAAAUUGGUGAUAUGUAGGCAAGUAAAUUUACAAAGAGAAUUAUGUUUAUGAAUUUUUAUGUAGCUACAAGAUAAUCAAACAAUCAAUAGCAGUGAGAAACUUGGUGUUCUUUCAAGGCAAUUUCUUUCUCUAUAACAAUUUUGCCACAUAGCUCUUAAUUAGAUAGUACAUAUGGAGAUACGAAUGAAGCCUCAUUUUCUCUUAUCAAUGUUUUUUUUUAUUAGUCUUAUUUUAAAAAUAUUUAAUCUUUUUAUUUUUAAUAAAGCCAUUUUACUUCUAAUGUAUUACUAUCUUUUAAUAAAUAUGUAGUUAUUUUAAGUCACCUAAGAAUGUAUUAAAGAUUUUAUUAUUUGUGAUUCAUAACCUUGAUACCUUUUUUUUUCUUCUUUUUUUUUUAUUAUUUCUCUCAAUAUACAAAUAUCAAUUUCUAUAGCUAAUAAUAUGAUAAAUUAUAAAGUAUAGUAAAGAAGGCAAUAACAACUAGCACUAAUGUUGUAACCUUCUUCAAUAUACCAAUGCAUCCUACACUCUAUUAAUACCUUAAUUAUGAAUAAUAUUAUAAAAUUCUAAUACUAUAUGUGAAAAUCCAACCUUGCCAAUAAUUCCAUCAUUAUUUGCUAUACCUUAAAAAUUAAAAGGGAUUUUUGUCAAGUAAAAGAUAAAUUAAUUAUACACCAAAUUUCAAACUAUCUUUCAUACUACAAAAAAGAAUUUAAAAAUGCAAAUAUGCAAAAAAAAACUUUAUAUUUUUUUCAAUGGCUUAAUUAUCAUAUGUAAUAAAGAUUUUAUUCAAAUAAACCUUCUAUCGUAAAAAAACUUAAAUCUAAUUUUAUCUUGUAAUUUAGGUUGAGGGAUGAAACUUACCUUCACAAAUGUCUUCAAUUCAUCUUUUUUUUAAUGAAUACAAAACUAUAUGCUCCUUUUAGAUCUAUUUUUUUAUAGAUCUUGGCUUAAUUCAAUUGAUCAAAAAAUCUAGAUAUCAAAAGUAGAUAGUACAUAUUUUUUAUAGUAAUCUAAUUGAGUCUUUGAUAAUUGACAUACAUGUGCAAUGAUCCAUCUUUUUUCUUCACAAAUAAGAUUAGAGUUCUUAUUAGAGAUUUGAAAUGACAUAUAAAAUUAUUUUCUAGAUUUCCAUCAAUAUAUUAUUUGAGUUCAAGUAAGUCAUAUUGUGAUAAACUGUAAAUUGGUCCAAAUAUCGGUUGAGUUCUUUCUUAAGCAUCAAUUGAAUAAUCAUAGAGACAAUGUUUUAAAAAAGUAUCUAUAUUUUUCUUCUCAAAGACAUUUUGAUAAUCUUAAUAUUGGCUUUGAAUGCUACUUAAAGUCUUUCUUCCAUUAGAAAUAAAUGUAAUAUAUAUAACAUAAAAUAUUACUUCUUUUGUAGCAUAUUAGAAAGCUCUUGCACCUACAAAUAUAAGUUUGGUUGCACUAAGCUCAUGACCUUCUAUUUGAUUAACAAUACUCUUAAUAAUAUUUUCAAAAAGUCAAGAUUACAAGAAAUCUAAUCUAUUUGAAGAUUAUACUUUUGUAAUCAUGAUAAAUUUAAAAUAAUUAAAUUAGAAUGGGAUCUAAUGAUAUUAAAUAUUACAAAGCUACUAUAAUCAUUAAUUAUUAUUUUUAUAUGAAGGAUUUUCUAAGUUAUAUCUCUAGAAAAAAAAAAAAAAAAAAAAAAAAAAAAAAAAAAAAAAAAAACAACAACAACUGCUGGAAAGAACAACAACAACAACAACAACAACAACAACAACUAUCUAUGAUUUAUACAUGAAUAAAUUUAAUUUCUUUUACUAAAUGAAUGCUAUUCUUUUUUAUAAAUUCUUCAUCUAAGAAAAAAAUUAAGAUUCUUGAAUUUAACAAGGUAAAGACUUUGAAAUAUUUAUAUGUUAAACUAACAUCUAUUAUUAAAAAAAUAUUUUGAGGAAAAAAUAGGAUCUUCAUUGUUGUACAAGAUUUUGAUUGCAUACUCCUUAUUAUAAUUGGACAAACUCAAUUUUUGACAUAUUAUUUUUUUUUACAACUAUAUUCUUUAUUUUGUAGUUGUGUUGCUUCUUUAAAUAAUGUUGAGCAAUGUGCUUAAGUUCACUAUAAUAUAAGCACAAUCCUUUCUAAUGACAAUGAGUCUUUUUUUGCUCAAUGAGAAGUUUAAAACAUACUACAUCAAUUUACAUAUCCUCUACUUUUGAAUGUAUGUAUUGAGAAGUUGUCAGUGUUGCCAUUGAAUUUUAAUAAUGUUGAUGCCUAUGUUUAUGAUUCUGAAAUUAAAAUUCAAAGAAUCAAUUGUCACACUUCAAAACAAAGUCAACAGCAUGACUUAAUAUUUGACAAUUAAAUAAAUUGAAUAUCAAUUUUUAUCUCAUAUUAUAAUUUAUAAAGAAAUUGGUUAAUAAUUGCAACAUUGUUUUGCUUUAUAUUAAUUGUAAGUUGUUAAAAUUGUGAAGCUUAUAAUAUUAUCAAUCAAUUAUCUUAUUUCAAAAUAUAGAACUUGUUUAUUGAAACACAAAUUGCUUCAUGUUUUUAAUACAUAGAUCAAAACUCUGCCAAAAAAGUCUUUGAAUUAUCUAAUAUUGGAUUAUAUUAUUUAAAAUAAGAUAAAAAUUAUGAUAAUAAAAAAUAUAAAAAAAAUAUGUCAAUAAAUCUCACUUAUGAUCUUAGAAUUGAAUAGCAUUAGAAUUGAAAUUCAAUUGCCGAUUGUACUUAAUUGAUGAAUCCUCAAAAAAUUUAAUCUUGUACUAUCAAACUUCUCCAACAAGGUAAUUAUUGAUUUUUUAAUACUUAAAUGAUAUUAAAUCAUAUAAGGAGUAAUAUGAUUUGAUAUAGAUAUUCAAGUAGCACCAAUCAUUUUUAUAUCUUUACUAUCUAUUAAUCUUCUUGCUCUUUGUAGUAAUAAAUUGAAUUAAUGAAUUGUAAGUAUGAGUCAUCAAAUCAAUUCACUAGUUAUUUAAGAAUAAAAAGAUGCAUUUAAAAUGCCAAAAUUAUAAUAUAUGAUGAGAUGCACAAUCUCUAGUGUUAUUGAAUAAAAAUUUACUGAACAGACUAUGAUUAAAGUUUGGAUUGUAUAAUUGCUUGAUUUUAUUUAUUUUAUUUUAUUGUAUUUAUUUGUUUGUUUUUUGUUUUUGUUUUUUGUUUUUGUUUUUGUUUUUGUUUUUUUUUUUUUUUAGUAAUUUUUUCUUUUACUUCAUAUUACCAAUUAUAAAAAAAAUAAUUGAAUCCAUCUUAUAAUUUGGAUUGAAGGAUGAAAUUUACCUUCACAAUAAGCAUUAAUUCUUUCAAUUGUUUUUGCAUUUGUACCAUUGCAUAUUUUAUUUUAGAAAGCUUUUCUAUGAUUAUUUAAUAAAGAAAUAGAUUUCUAAUAUUUUUCAAGAUAGAUUGAAAAAAAGAUUAAAAAAAAGAUUGAAAAAAAAAUAAAAUACUAAGAACAAUAUCAAUUUAAAAGUGGAUAAUCUUUAACUUCUAAUAUACUUAUGUCUUAUAAAAAAAAGAAAUAAUCUACUCUUAAUGAAGAAAAAUUAAAGCUUUAAUAUUAUAAAUAUACUCUUGUCAAUUUUUUAAGGAUAACAACUUGAUGAAGAAAAGAAAAUAAGUUAGCUUUUUUUAGAAAAAGAUUAAAAAAUAGAAACAAAAAAGUAUGUAUGCUCAAAAAAAUACUAGAAUAGCUAUUGACAAAAGAUAAAAAUACUAGAGAUCCUUGAAACUAGAUUAGAAGAAAAGAAGGAAUUGACAAGAGUGAGAAAGGCAUUAAUCUUGUUUCUAUAUAUACUAUUUAUCUAAGUGCUACAUGGUGACAUUCAAAAAGACCUCCAAUAAGUGUCAAAUUUAUAAGUCACAUGUAUUAACUUGUAAAGCAAGUUUAUUAUAUGUGUGUGUAAGCUAAAAUAAAUUUCUACUAAUUAAAAGUUUAUUUUUGUUCACUACCAGUGAAUAAAUUAUAAAAAUCUUAGAAUUUAAGGUUUUUAUUUAAAUUAUGAUUAAUUCACCUUUAACCUCCUUAAUUCAUCUAAAUGUGGGAUAAAUAACCUCCAUUACAUGAAUACUUCUUCUAAUUUAUAAAAAAUGAAUUAACUCUUUAAUUUUUAUAAAUUAUAAAUUUUAAUUAAUUCUUAAUUAAUUCACUCUUUAUUCUUCUUAAAUCAUCUAAUUAGUCAUCUAACUUAUACUAUUAAAUCACACCUAUAAUAAUAAAUCACUCACAAGAAGCAUGCAAAGAAUUCCUUCUCUUAACUCUUAAUUUAUUUUAUUUACUUUAUUUAUUGAAUUAACAUACAUUUAUCAAUGAAAAAUUUAUCAUUAAAUGAUUAUUCAUCUAAGUAUGAAAAUUUAUCUAAAUAAUUUUUAUUGAAUUAAUUUUUUUUCAUUCAACUUCAAUUAUUUAUCCAAAUUAAUUCUAAUUCGUUAUGCUUAAUAAGCCUCCUUGAAAUUCUUUCUAAAAGAGGGAUGACAUGGCUUAUGAUCAACUUUCUUGCUCUAUAGCAGUAACUACUAUGAUCUUCAAAAAAAUUCCCUCUACCAAUAGAUUCAACAAGAAUACUUUAAUAAAAACCAAUGUCUCUAGUAUAUUUGUUGAGUCUAUAGAAUAGUUGCUACAAAAGGUUCUUGAAUUUCUAAUUUUCGUCAUGCAGAGUCUUUCAAUAAUAAAAAUACCACAAAUGCAAUAGAUCUGAUUGAAUAAUGUUGUCACUAGUUGCUUGAGCUCCAUCAGCAUUAUAUAGUUGUUGCUAAUCUUUUGGCUCAAAAUUGAUUGUACCACAUCUAAGAAUCAUGGUUAUAAAUUUUGAAGAAUUGAAAGAUUAAGAUACUCUUGUGUUAUUUGAAAAAGACUAAAUAAUUAUUCAAAGAUGAUAUAUUAUUAAACUAGAAUGGCUAUUGCCAAAGACAAGAAAAUUAGAAAAUCUUAAAAUAAGACUAAAGACUAAAAAGACAUUUAUAAGAAUGAAAAAGGCUUCACUUUUGCCUCCAUAUAUACUAUUUAACUAAAAACUAUGUGAAAAUAUUGUAAUUCGGUUACCAUGUGAAAAUAAUACAUAUAUAUUUAAUAUAUAAUUUAUUAUAUAAUGUAGUAAUAUGUAUGUUAUUAGAUUUUAGUUGGUUAUAAAAUAUGAUUAAAUUACUAAUUUGAAGUAAUUAAUUUAAAAAGAUUACUAUUGAAAUUUAUUUUAUUUUGAUAAUAGUUUUAUUUAUUUAGAGCUACUUUUAUUAGACAUUAAUAAGUCUUAAAAUCUUAUUUGUUUCUUUUAUUUGAUAUUUAAGAUACAUAUUAUAUAUAACUUAUAAAAGAAAAUGAUUGAAGAGAAAUUUCGAUAGCAAAAAUAGUAGUUAGAAAAUCCAUAUGGAUGAAUAUAAAUGGAUGAUAAAAAUUUCCAUUACUAUUGGCUAAAAGGCAUAUCCAAUGGACUUUAAGGAGGCUAUCCGAGGCUUUAUUCUGAAUCAGAAUUACUUUUUCAAGGCCAUUUGAACUUGAGAGGCUAGAAUAGAAAUUUUAGGUUUUUGGCUAAAGUUUAGGUACAAAUUUUAAGUGAUUCAAAGUUUUUGUGAGAGAGAUAUAGGCACUCAAAGUUAAGGUGUUGUUUUAGUACCUACUAUCACUCUUUUCGACAUAACCUAUGCAUAUAGAAAGCAAUAAAGGAUUGGCAAUUGAAGUUGGAAAGAUGACUUUUUUGGCUACACUUUUCAUGUAUUUUUUGAUGAAUUUUAAGCUAGGAUGAAGGAGAUAUAAGAAAUUGAAGUCAGUGCUUGCAAUCUAAAGGCAAUAAGUGACCUAAUUUACUAAUGGUUGUAUUUCAAACUAUAUCUUGAGUAAUUUGAUAAAUUCUUAAAUAUAAAAAUAUUUUAUUAAUAAAAUAAUUUUUAAUAUUAUUAUAUCUAUUUAACCUCUAUAAUAAGAAUAUAUGAUUUAUUAGACCUUGGCCAAUAAGUUAAAGCUAAAUUCUCUAUAGUUAGGUAUUCAAUGUAUUCCUGGAUAGAAAAUUACACCAUAUGUCAAUGUGGUGAUGCUUUAUAGGACCUUUUAUACAUAUUGACUUUGUAAAAUACAUAUCUUAACUUGUAAGGCAAGGUUUUUAUAUGUGCUUCACAUAAUUAACUUAUUCCACAAGCUACCAAUAUAUAUGAUACAUGGUUAACUUAUUGACCAAAUUUCUAACCUACCAAUCAACUAUAAAUACAUGUAAAAUCAAAAUUACAUCUGUAAAGCUUUUAGAAAACUUAUCUAAAAGAUAUUAUAAAUUUAAUAUAUUUUUACCUACUUUUGCCUAUUUAUAUUAUCUAGGUAAUUAUUAGAGUGGAUGUGUAUGUCCAUAAUAAUAUGUAGGUGAUUGAUAGGUUAAAAACUUGGCCAAUAAAAUUGCCAUAUAUCUCACAUGUUUGUCAUUUGUAGUACAAAUUAAACAUGUAGUAGACACAUGAAAAACUUGUUUUGGAUAUUAGAUACAUACCUUACAAAUUGAAUGUCUUAUAGAAUAUCAUUAUAUAGCUUCUAGUUAUAAAUCACAUAUAAUUGUUUCAUAUGUAAUAAUUAAAUUUACAAAAAUUAGACUAUGAACAUCAAUUAUUUUAUCAAAAAUUGAGAUUUUUAAAGAAUAAAAGUAUGAAAAUUUUAAAGUUUUAUUUUUUGUAUACGGACUAUAUUUGUCAUAUUUAUCAAAUUUUAGUUUUUUAUUUGGAUUUUAAAAAUAAUUAAUUUUAUUUUAAAUAAUAUAAUUUAUAUGCUAUAUUUAUAAAUAUUUUAUUAAUAAUAUUAAAACUCUAUUUUUAUUUUGGUUUGAUUAGAUAUAUAAUAUCACAUAGUAUUAAUUCUAUAUAAAAGACAAAGAUGAUGUUCUCCAAAUAACUUUUUAAUUAUAUUUGAAAUUUGAUUUAUAUAAAUAAAUAAAUAAACUAAUGAUACUAAAACUAAAAUUUAGUAAUUCUUUCAGAAACAUUGCAUCAAACUCAAUCAUAAAAUUCUAUUUGAAAAAUAUUGGUGUUGAUUUUAUUCAUGUUAUAAGUCUUUUUCUUUUAUAUAUAAAUUCAUAUAUAUAUAUAUAUAUAUAUAUAUAUAUACACACUCUUUAGUUUCAAUCUUUUCUUUUUGAUUUAUUUUCACCAUGUCCAAAAUCUGAAUAAAUAUGGGUACUUAACUUCAUUGUGGACAUGAAAUAUACUUAUUUCUCUUGAUGAAUUAUUACUUGAGAAAUUUUAUCAUAUUUAUAUGAUUGUCUAUACUUUACUCAUCCAUCCUCUUUCAAAUCAUUUGGAUCAUCUUCAUUGAUUAUGGGCUACAAAUAUACUCAUGUGGGCAUACCUUGUCAACAGUUUAUUCAGCAGGGCCUAGAUUUUAUGCAAUUAUGCAACAUUUGUGCAAUUGGAUGAGCCAUCACAACCACAUAGUGCUUGAAAUGGGAUUAUCAUCUAAAAAGAGUUUAUGCAAAUUAACUGCCACUUAUUUUGUCAGCUAGGGCGAGACCAGACACUCCUCUUUGGCUUGGAUAAGAACAUGAAGCAUUUUGUGGGAGCCAUAUACUCCACAACUCACUUUGGGUCUCAUGUUCUCCAGCUUCCUUUUGUUCAGCAAGCACUGGGCUUGAAGGAAGCUGACUCAAAGCCUACCUUUCGGGCAUCCCAAGCAAUGACAUAGACUUAUCUACUGCUGAGGUUGCUGGUGGUUGCUGGUGAUGUGGUUGCCCACAUGAAACAAAAAGAUGGCAUCAUACAAUUGCAUUCAACUAUAGAUUUUUGAAAAUAAAUCAAAUAAUUUGAAAAGCAAUGGUCCUUGUUUGGUAAAAAAAAAUAUUUGGAGGAGAUGUUGGCCUAUGGAAAAGGUAUAAAAAGCAGAGAGGUUAUACAAUGAAUUAGUUUAAUUUCACAUUACAAAUAUGAACAGAAAUUUUAUAUCUUGAUUUUGAAAAUUGAAAAAUGUUGUAAAAAAAUUACAUGCAUGUGGAUAUUUUUAUGCAUAUUUGUCAGAUAAUUAUAAAUUUAUAUCAAAGCUUCUUCUUGAAAUGGACCUAAUGAAAAUUUCUAUAAAAAUAUAAGUUGUAACAGACAGCUAUAUAUAUAUAUAUAUAUAUAUAUCUAAAUAUCAGGUGUCCAAUAGAGGGCCAUUGAGUCAUCCAAGAGGGCUCACAGUCCAAUCUAUCCAGCUAAUCAGAACUACAUCCCUCAUGUAGAUGAUCGUGGAUUCCAACGUCACUGGAAGGCAUGGCAACAGAAGCUCUCGUCCACUUGGACACACGACAGGCCAUCAUGACAUAAACUAGGCCAUUUCCUAGAUGCAGGAUCGCAGAUUUUGCAAUCGCUAAGAAGAAGUCCGCAGGCGACACCUCUCUCGCAACGGGCACCCGCUCCUGGAUCCCGAAACUGGCGCGAACGGUCGCCGCCCGCCUCCUGAGCCUCAGCCCUACGGACGGAUGGCGCAGUUGCAAACCCAGGCACAAGUGAACGCUCUGGGUUAUGAACUUCUUCGUUGUCACCAUCCUGUGUUUAGCGAUUUCUCACUGCAACGGUGUAUGGAGCUCGCGGAGCACUUCGGCACGAGUUAGGAAGGAUAGUCUCUGCUGUGUGUGUGGACGCCUUGAUCAUCGGUAAGAUUUUGAGCAACGGUACCAUCUCGUUGUUAAAAUAGAGAAGUAGUGCCGUAAGUAUCCCUGUUUCUUGACAGUUUAGGUUUGCUUGCAAAGAAAGGGGGGAGUGAGUGGUCGGAGGGCAGUCUGGGGUUGGGAGAGACGGAAGUGUGGCCAGUGAGAUGCAACCGAGGAGUUGGGGUGGAGAAAGACGUUGAGUGAAGAGGAGCGGGGGCUUGCGAGGGAGACGAUAUAAUGUUGGCAGUGUUGCAGAGGCAGCAGGAGCGGCAGUUCGUGGGGGGAGGAAGAGAGUCGCCGUUUAUGAGCGGUGGAGCGGGGGGACUGGCAUCGCUGGACGGGGGAGGUUCGUCGUCGCUGUCGUUGUAUGAAUCGAUGGUAGACUACGUGCCUAUGUCUCAGCAUGUGCAGGCGCAGCAUGCAAUGCGGCGGCUGAACUCGUUCUCGCCCGCGGCGAUGCACGAUGCGGAGGCGCCUGUAGAUGGCGCGUCGGGUGGGGUGUACCAGAGGAGCCACAGCUUCGGGGGUGGGGGGAGCGCGGGGUUGCACGCAUUCAACAAUUUCUUUUCGAGCCCGCCGAGCUCGCCGGUGUCGAGGGGUGAGUUUUCGGGAUUUUCGAUGGCGGACGAGGAGUCGUUGAUUGAGGCGGGGAGCGGGAAGGGGGGCUUCUUUGAGGAGGCGGGGAAGGGAGCGGGUCGAGCGGACCUGCGAGGGCUGAGCUUGGGACCGGCGUCGCCGCUGGGGGCCGGGGGGUCAUCGAUGGGGUCACCGACAUUUUCCGAUGCGCUGUUCAACAAGUUUCUGCCGUCGAACAACGAGGACGAGGAGGCGUGGCCGGUGGUGGACAUGUACGGGUGCGAUCAGUUCCGGAUGUUUGAAUUCAAGGUGAGGCGAUGCAUGAGGGGGAGGAGCCACGAUUGGACGGAAUGCCCGUUCGCCCACCCGGGCGAGAAAGCUAGGCGUCGCGAUCCGCGGCGGUACCACUACUCGGGGACGGCGUGUCCGGACUUUCGGAAGGGGAGCUGUCGGAGAGGCGAUGCGUGCGAGUUCGCGCACGGAGUGUUCGAGUGCUGGCUGCAUCCGGCUCGGUACCGGACGCAGCCGUGCAAGGACGGGCGGAACUGCCGUCGUCGGGUGUGUUUUUUCGCGCACACGCCGGAGCAACUGCGGUUGCUGCCCGCGGCGGCACAGGCAGCGACGACGGGAGGUCGGAGCGGAGGGGGUUACGACGGGUCGCCGCGAGCUGGUGCAGCGGCGAGCUACGAUGGGGCGUUCGGGUACGAGAGCUUGUCUUACGACGGAGCGUCGGGAGUUCACGGUCUGAGCCACUUGUCGGGGUACUCGAGCUCGGCCCACUCGGGUGCAGGGUGUGUGGCGUCGCAGAAUUCGUCGCCCAGGUCGACGCUGGUCGGGCACGCCCAGUACCCGCCGCCGCUGAGCCCUCCGCUGUCUCCGUCGGGGUCGCCUCCGCCGUCGCCUGGGUCGGCUGAGGAAUGGGGGGCGAAUGCGGGGUCAUUUGCGAGCGGGUCGAUGUCAGGAGCACAAUCUGGGAUGUCGCUGCAGGCGACGCUGCAGCAAGCGGCGCAGGCUCGGGGGCUGGGCGGACACGGGCAGACGUCGGCGGUGCCGGCACAUCGGCGGCAUUUGGAUCGUUUGAACUCGAUGCCAACGCUGUCGAUACCGAGCGCGGGAGAGCAUCGGGGGCUGCACUCGGGGAUGCAUCCGGGGUCGGCACCGACGUCGCCAGCGGGAGUGCCGCAGAAGUCGAUGAUGGAGCUGAUCGCGACGCUGCAGCAGUUGGAGAUUCGGGGUGCACCUCCGGCAUCGGCUGCGCAGUGGCUGCAGCAGCAGUACACGACGGGGCCGUCGCCGCUGCGUCGGUGCUCGCAGAGCGUGCCCGGGACGCCGACGAAGGUGUCGGGACGGUGGGAUCAGAAGGAGCGGUGGGAGGUGGAAGAGAACGAGGACGGGGAGCCGGCGGUGCAGCGGGUGGAGAGUGGGCGGGAUCUGCGGGCGAAGAUAUACGGGCGAUUGAGCCGGAGUUCGUUGAACGAGGCGGGGAGCGGCGUGGGGGACUCUCCGGACCUGGACUGGGUGAACGACCUGGUGGAGGAGGAGCCGGAGCAUUCGGCGGGGUGGUGAGGGUGGGGCGGAGGUGGUUUCCGCGGAGGCGCUGGGUUGGGGGCAGGACUGCCAGGCGCACUGGCAGGGUGUAGCGGCAUGCGGUGAUGAAUGCGAGGUGGGGCAUGAGGGAGUGGAGCGGGGAGGGAGUGGGAGUGGCGGAGUUGUCUAUGGAUGCGGAAGUUGGUAGAGGAGGAGGAGGUGGGAGAGAGUGGUGGUGACCGUACGGAUGCGGCUCGGAGAGGCCCUGGUUACGGCGAGAAUAAUGUGGCGUGGAUGCAAGUGGUGUGGAAGAGCUGGUGGCAGGUUGUGUGGAGGAGUGUGAAGGAUCGGAGGUGCGAGGGAGGGGAAAGAGGAUGCGUAUGGGGUGCUGAGGUGGCGCAAUUCGUGUGUGGGAGGAGCGCGGAGCGAUGGUGGGUGGCUGUGGGUGUGAGUAGGAGCGGUACGGUAUUGGAAUUUGGGGCGGGGAGGUGGGAUUGUUGAGUACUUUAGGGGGCGUGCGUGGGGCGGGGGAGGGUGGCAAACGACCAUCCGAAGCCAACGCAGUGGGUUUGUUGAUGAUGUAUACAUAUUCCGAAAUAUUGGAGUGCGUACCUGAGGAGCAGGCGGUGCGGAGGUAGGAGAUUGAAGUAGCGAAGUCAAUUAUUAUUCUGCUCGGUUUUGGCCGCCCCUAAAGGAGCUGGGAGAGGACACGAGACGGGGCGAUACUCAUUUUUUUGGAUUUUUCACGCAAUUUGUGAUUGUAGCUAGCCAGGCUUUUGCUGAUUUACCAAAAGCAGGAUUGUAGUGGUAGAGACGGAGGAGCAUGCAUGUGGAUAACUUU
rnacentral:lncRNA from 1 species